rnacentral:lncRNA from 1 species
AGUCCAAUUGACAUAUUAUUAGGGAUAACACAGGGAGAGCAAGGUACGCGAGCCGAAUGACUUCAGAACAACAAGAGUGAUGAUGCCCAAACCUAACAAAGAGAAAUCCUACAAAAGAGUACCAUCAAGUGGGCCAGUUAUUGGUUGGAUGUGCAUGAGAGUUUAUCAGUUAUCAGAUAACAUUCUAACCGCGGCAUCCAAAUUACUCCAACCAAUAACUGAUAACACAACUAUUCGAUGCCCCAAGCAUGCUUCGGCCCAAUAACAGCACAUAAUUUCUCCAAGUGGACACUUUGAAAACAAAUCAACUUUACUGCACUUUCCUGGCUUCUGCCCGGGGCUUCCAAAGACCAAGGCGGUACUUGUGGGCAAAACUCAAAAUCAACUUCCUCUGCACCAUGGCAAAGAAACCGAAUUAGUAAUUUAAUUCAAGCAUAAUUUAAUCAUAAAUUAACCGCCUGGGAUAGAAAGGAAAUUAAACAGAAGAAACAUAUCACAGUAAAUGUUGAUGAUGGCAAAUAGCGGCUAGCGAGCUGUGAGCUAUCUUUAGAAUUUGUGUGGAUUGGCAACCUGGAUAUGUCGAAUAUCUGAAAUGCUUCUCAUGCACUCGUUUGGCUGCUGUUAUUUAGAACACCGAUCACUGUAUUUUACAAGCAAUUGGAACAUCUACCAAAUGUUACGCACACAUUUACAAGCUACCUACUUCCUAAGAAAUCCAGUGACGUCCAAGCUUUGUCCGUUGGUGCUGCUAUUUCAUGUUGACUAUAGUAACUAGAGGAAACAAACAAGUACAAAGUUGCUACCUGAAUGUUAGUGCACUGGAAUCUCCUUUCCUGGCUACCGUUUUUAUAUCUACAAAUUCCAUUCUAAAUCGGGGACUCAUGGAGCAUGUUUGAUAAAUCUGUUCGAACUUGGUAAUAUGUUAAAACAGUGCCAGUUGUACUCCUGGUCCAGCAACAGCUCUGGUUGUAUGCUUGGAUAGAAAAUGUUGUNNNNNNNNNNNNNNNNNNNNNNNNNNNNNNNNNNNNNNNNNNNNNNNNNNNNNNNNNNNNNNNNNNNNNNNNNNNNNNNNNNNNNNNNNNNNNNNNNNNNNNNNNNNNNNNNNNNNNNNNNNNNNNNNNNNNNNNNNNNNNNNNNNNNNNNNNNNNNNNNNNNNNNNNNNNNNNNNNNNNNNNNNNNNNNNNNNNNNNNNNNNNNNNNNNNNNNUAGAUAACAUGUACAUUGUCUAAGGGUUUAUUUGUACAGAUUCAGGGAGUUUCCACAGUUCUUGCUAUGUGCAGCCCGCAAUUUUUAUUUAAUUCUAACGUGAUUAUUAAUUAAGUUCUUGAUCAGAACCAUUCAAUUCAUUUAUACUGACAGAUGUAGUAGUAUGAACAUUUUUUUAGAUAUGAUACUUAUUUUCUUAACAUAUUAGACUCAUUGAGCCAUUCUGCAGCUUAAGAAUAAUAAUACACAAAGAAACUAGUUUGGUUUCCUCAUCUCAGCCUAUCAGGUUUCUGCUCCUAAAGAUGUUCUCAGAAUUUCUUUAUAUACUUGUUUCAUGUUAUGGGACAAUGCGCUAAGCUUAGAUACUCAGCUAGAUCGGUAACAUUUUUGUUUCCAUUCACACUUUUGCAUACGGUUGAUUUAACAUUCUAUACAUGGCAAAUCUUUAUGCUUACAUAUUUAUUGUUGUAAUCAGCGUGUGGACGAACAUAACUAGGAGGCCUACCAUUUCUCAUAGCUUUGGAAGCAAACUGGACCUCACUAAAUAGAGCUGGGAUGUUUCUAUUAGACGUCUGGUUUAGUAAAAUGCUAUCUAAAGCCUGAAUACGACAUUCAGAUUAAUUUGGUUCAGUUUACUUGUGCAUUUCCUACAAUUAUAACAUUUAUGCAGGGUCGUCUUUUAAUCACCUUUUUAUCAGUCUCAAGUUAACUAAGAGUUUUGACAUUGCAGUCCCAAUUUUUUUUCCUAAUUUUGUGGCAAUUGUUCAUAAAUGCUGGUUAUUAGGACAUCACUAUAGGAUAUGUCAGGGACUUCUUUUAUGAUAACUUUGAUUUUAAACCCUGGAGAGGUCUUACCUGGUGGAAACGCCGUCCAAGGACCCAUCACAUGCUAAUGAGUUCCACACAGGUAUGACACUGAGUCAACAAUGUGAUGUCCGAACCCCGGUUUACAAUGGCGGAGACAGGGGGGACCAGCAGGGGCCCUGGCCCCCCCCNNNNNNNNNNNNNNNNNNNNNNNNNNNNNNNNNCCCCCCCCUAACAUCCAAUAUUUGCUGCUAAUUAGCUAAUGAACAGUGGGUAAUUAGUGAGUAUUUGCUGCUAAAAACCUACUUUCCAAUGAUUUGGCCCUCUCCAACCAGUUCUAACAGCCCUCGGCCCCCCUGAUAAUAUUUUCCUGGCUCCGCCACUGCCGGUUUACUCUGGCAUUUGCAUGCUAUCCUAAAUCAUGCUAUUGAACAUCUUAAUUGGUUCUUUCUGGAUAUGUGUGUGCCAACUUAUAUGCAAUCCUAUGCCUAGAACAUUAGACGGAUCAAGAUAUUUUGAACAAAAUUGCCAGACUUCCUCAAAUUACUUCAUCAAGAAGGGUGGGGCCUUUGUGUUCGUGCACAUGAACCAUCUAAUACCAAACUAAGCCGAUGGCUCUUAUCCAAGCAUCACAACAUUGGAGAACAAAACCUAACCAAACUAUACAUUUACACAACGAAAUGCCCCAAGAAGCAGGGUGUAGCCAGCAAAACCACAUCAAGCCUUCUCUGAAACUACAAAGGACACACCAAUUAAAUCAAAGGAAUAUCUUGAGCAGGGAGGAGACUAACAUGCUUGCAGGGGACGCCGAGUUUCUUGAGCCGUAGCGUGCGGGUCUCGAGCAGCCUCUNNNNNNNNNNNNNNNNNNNNNNNNNNNNNNNNNNNNNNNNNNNNNNNNNNNNNNNNNNNNNNNNNNNNNNNNNNNNNNNNNNNNNNNNNNNNNNNNNNNNNNNNNNNNNNNNNNNNNNNNNNNNNNNNNNGAGAUCGCCUCCUACGGCCUCCUCCAGCUUCGCGGCGUGCGUCUCCACCCCCUUGCCGACCCCAUUCAAGAACUCCACCACGCCUACCUUGGCUGCGCACAGGAAUCCCAAUCCGCUUCACCACGACGAACGGCGAAGAAAGAACCACGAAGGUUACGGGUCAGGAGGAAAGUAGCUAGGCGGGUGUACCUUGGUAGGGCUGGGAGUAGAAGGAUCUCGCCGGAGCUCCGGCGCCGGGGUGGAGGAGGAGGCGGCGCACAUUAGAUGCACAGGCCAAGGCCGCCAUAGGGGAGACUGAGGGCUGGAUCCUUUUUUUUUGUUCACAAUCUACCGAGGGGUGGAUCCUCAAACGCGCACCCUCCAGCGCUUGCGAAUGCCUAUUAGGCCGGGCCAGUUACGCGAUUUUCUUCCACCAGUUUCCUGACCGGUUUUUUCUUCUGCUUUUCCAUUCGGUUUUCCCCUGAUUAUUUUUAUUUUUCCAUCUUUUAUUUAUAGAUUCACUAUCAUUUUUCUAAUUUGCGAGCGUUUUUGAAUUCACAAUAUUUUUUGAAUAUAUGAGAAUUUUUUUCAAAAUUUAUGAAUUAAAACAAAUCAUGAAAACUAUUUGAAUACACGAACAUUUUUUCAUAUCAGAACACUUUUAAAAUUAGUGAACAUUUAAUGAAUUAAAAAAAAGAACACUUACAAAUCUGCAAAAAAAUUGUAUUCNNNNNNNNNNNNNNNNNNNNNNNNNNNNNNNNNNNNNNNNNNNNNNNNNNNNNNNNNNNNNNNNNNNNNNNNNNNNNNNNNNNNNNNNNNNNNNNNNNNNNNNNNNNNNNNNNNNNNNNNNNNNNUUUUUUUUCAAAUUCGUGAACAUUUUUUAACAAUUGCAACAUUUUUUGAAUCCACACUGAUUAUAAAAUCUUGAACAUUUUUUGAAUGCACGAAUAUAUUUUGAAUUUGCAAACUUUUUAGUAUAGAACAUUUUUUGAAUUCAUGAAUAUAUUUUUUAAAUUUGCAAGCAUUUCCCAAAAUCAUGAUUGUUUUUUUAAAUAGUAUUUUUUGGAUUCAUGAAUAUUUUCAAAUUUGCAUACAUUUUUAUAUUCGUGGAUAUUUUUUCAAAUAUGAAGACAUAUUUUUGAAUUUUGCUAAAAAUGAAACAAUAAAAGGAAAUUUUAAAAACGAAAAAAGAAUCUAGGAAAAAAGGCCUCGCGCCCGCGCACUCGAUCGACCCAUCAGAAAUGGGGUACGUGUUUGCUAGCCUCCCAUCCCGUAAUGUGGGGACUACAAUUGAUAUGUAUGGCCCGCUGCGAUACUCAUAGUGGCGCUCGCCCGCUAUGUAGAAGAAGAUGGACCGGCUCAUCACGAAGCCGUGAAGUGUUCUGUGCGGUCUAGGAACCUUCCACGCUGGUUUGGGAAGCUUCUGUAUGGUUUUUUCAAGGUGUUUUUUGUAUUUAUUUUCUUUUUAUUUUUUCCUUUGUAUUUUUCAUUGUUUCUUUUUCAUAUUUUUAGUUUCUUUGCGCUUUUCAAUGUUUUUUCUGAUUUUUUUAUUUUUAUUUGUCUUUUUCACUGGUUGGUGAGGUGAGGUGCGUGGGUGUGGGGAAAUAUUACAUGGCGGCCGGCGGCCGAGAGGUUGAGUAUGUUUACUCCUCACAUUCGCUCAAAGUAAAACCUAAUGGUUAUACUAGUUCGGCUUGUUUCGGUUUAAAGAAGUAAAUUGGACUUUUUACUCGUCUAACAGGUUAUAGGGGAUCGGUUAGAGUUGCGGUGAUCGGUUAGAGCUGCUCUUAGGCUAGCCAUAGUGGGAGUAAUUUAGGUAGUAACAUAACGUACCCUAAGACAUAUAUGCUUAUGUGGCAUGGAGUUAAUGAGGAGAGAGGUGCUUGUGGUAACAUAAUAUGUUACCGUAACAUAACGCACCCAAAUGCAAAAUGAGUCUAUAAUAUAAUAAAUGAAGGCUUGCAUGACACUAUAUUUGUGUUACUACCCACUAUGAUGGUAGUAACAUAGACUACUAACAUGCAUAUAUUACUAGUCUAAGUUACUAUCCACUAUGACUAGCCUUAGGAAUCGAUAUGAGUACAUAGCUUCGGAUGGGAAGGAAAAGAUCGUUCGCAUAUGUUGCCUCCGUGAGUGGACGUCAACUCUACAUUGGUGUCCUUGUAUAAUCUGCAGCCUGUAGCAAUUUUAUUAGGAAAAAUUGUUCCGAUCGACGAGCUGACGGAGCGUACACACGGCGCGUCUACGUGCAGUUGCGCUCCACUCGGACAAGGAAGAGUCUUGUCCGGCUCUGCCUGCACGUAACGUGAACCAUCAUGUGGUAAUAUAACGAGUACUAGUAGGCAGAUAUAGGUACAGAACCCCAAGUCUCCUACCCGACGCUUCCUCAUAUCGAUCGACAUGGACAUACCAGGCAGCUACCCGAGGACAUGCUCCUAGACGUCCUCCGCCGCCUCCCUCCCCGCUGCCUCGCGGCGUCCCGCUGCGUCCGCAAGGAAUGGCGCGCCGCCGUCGACGGCCACCGCCUAUUGUGCACGGACCUUCUCCCGCUCUCGUUCGACGGCGUCUUCCUCGAGCUGCGCGACCCGGACCUGCCCCUCGAGCGGAUGGAGCACCCCAUGCCUGCGCUCUUCUCACGCCGCACCACGGCGCGCCGGAUCGCCGCCAGCCUCGACUACCCGGACACCCCCUCCGUGUUUGACUGCGGCGUGCAGGACUGCUGCAACGGCCUCCUCCUCCUGCUCUGCGGCCACGUGGUCAACCCUGCCAGGCUGCAGUGGGUGGAGUUGCCCGCAGCGCCGCCCCGGUGCUGCGAUCUCUGCAUGAGCGGUCACUACCUCGUGUUUGAUCCGACGGUGUCGCAGCACUACGAGGUGCUCUCGGUCCCGGACAUACUGUCAGGACCCCGAUUCUAAGUCACAUCGAUCUAGCAUGUAACACAUCAUAUCACUUUGUGGCCUCACGCACGGUAUUCCCACGGGUGUCACCUUACCUGGCCCGGAACCGUUUGCGCCUUUUGGCUCACGUAUAUAAUAGUGUCGCUAGUAUCCAUAUGACAGAGAACCUGGGCCGACAUGACUAGUCGUGAACCCAAAGUGGCGCUAACUUACGGGGACAGUCAUACAUGAACCAACAUCGAACGUGUCGGUCAUCAGCGUGUGAAUCCGGGCUGUAGCAACUGGGCUAACAGGACUCCGGGAACCCGGGCUGUAGCAGGCUAGCAGGACUCCGGAAGACACCGCGUGACAUUUCCCCGAAGGGACAGACACAUGAACGAAGUGGAUCACAUGCCGGCCAGUCUAAGUGUUCCGGAGCAGUAGUAACUGGGCUAGCAGGACUCCGGUAAACCGGGCUGUAGCAGACUACCAUGGCUCAGUGGAAGCACUAGACUACAUUUCUCCAUAAGAGAGGCUACCAAGGAUAAACAACUAGGUUGUCGAAUCCACACAUACCAAGCAUUUCAAUCAUACACACAAUAUGCUCGAUAUGUGUAAAUACAACAUGGCAUCACAACAAAACUCUACGACUCAAAGUAUUUAUUCAUUAGGCUCCAAAGAGCCAAGUAUUACAAACAUGGGUCUCAUGACCCAAAAUAUAGAGCAUACAAGCAACAAGCACAUGCGGAAGCUUAACUUGUCUGAAUACAGACAACUAUAAAAGAACAAAGCUGAGAAGCCUGACUAUCUACAAGAUCCUGCUGAGGGCACAAGAUCGUAGCUGAGGUAACAAGCUAAACGUCGAAGUCCACGUGGAACUACUAGCGAGACUGAAGUCUCUCUGCAAAACAUAAAAUAGGCAAACGUGAGUACAAAUGUACCUAGCUAGACCUACAUCAGAACUAUCUACAUAUGCAUCGGUACCAACAAAGGGGGUGGUGGAGUUUGACUGCAGCAAGCCAGCUUUGACUCAGUGGCUAACCUGAACUACGACUGCAAGUAACUCUUUUGAGAUGGCGCACACGAGUCCACAUAUUCACCAUACAAUACACCACUAUGGAUCCGCUCCCGUUAACCUACGAGAACGCCAUCCAUAGCACUCACGCUUAUCUUGCGAGUUUUAGAGUAUCCACUUCAAGUUAUCUAUGAACUGUACAGGCAACCCAGAAGUCCUUUACCGCGGACACGGCUAUUCGAAUUGAUCAUUUAUAACCCUGCAGGGUGUACUUCUUCACACACGCUCUCGCCACUUACCACCAUGUACACGUCGUGUAUCUCGGCAACCUUCAAGCGGAAGCCUGGCGAGGGAGUCGGUCACGACCUGACUAACCACACAAGUCUCUAGUCCAGGUUUAUCGCCUAUUCGGGUUCCAUCCGCAAGGAGAUCCGGCCGGGGUGUCGCUCACGGCCCCAAACGAUGUGAGCAGGGUUCCCAAGCCCACCAUCCGGGUGCCACUUGGUACAUCGUGCCACUGUGCCUAGUCUGUCCCAAGCCCACCUGUACCGGGUGCCACUUGGUAGACUACUAACACUACCUACAAACACCAGAAACUAGUUGCAACUCCUGGACAGAGAUCGAGUUGGUUAAUAAGUCGAGAGAGCUUGGAGCGCCCGGAGCCCAAUGUGUGGUAGUAACUGUUCAUGGAUCACAAACACAGAACUCAGUUCCUCAGGACGGCUGCAAUGAGACAACCCACCAUGUACUCCUACAUAGCCUCUCACCGCUACCUUUACCAAAUCGUGUUCACACACUUGGCUCUCAACAGCAGGACAUGUUCACCACAUUCCAAUUCAUCCCCGAUGAAUCAGACCUGACUCAACUCUAAGCAUUAGUAGGCAUGACAAACAAGUAUGAAUGAGUAGGCACACCAGGGCUCAAACAACUCCUACUCAUGCUAGUGGGUUUCAUCUAUUUACUGUGGCAAUGACAGGCCAUGCAGAGGAAAGGGGUUCAACUACCGCAGCAUGUAACAGUUGAAUCAUUGUUGUCCUAAUGCAGUAAAAGAGAGCAGGAGCGAGAGAGUGGGAUUGUAUCGGAAUGAACAAGGGGGUUUUGCUUGCCUGGCACUUCUGAAGAUAGUAUAGUUCUUCAUCGGUGCCAUCGAUCUCAUCGUCGGAACCACGUCUACUGAGAGGGGACAAAUACCAGCAAACAAGGAAGAAUACAAUCAAUGCAAUGCACAAUAUGAUGCAUGAUCAUGACAUAUCAAUAUGCUGUGAUUUAAGCUAAUGCAACUAAAACCAGAAGGGUUUGAGCUAAUUUGAACCAAGGGUUCAAAUUCAAACUCAAGUUAUGAAUUAUAAUGUGCAUUAUCAUGUUUUGAUCUAUACAGCAAGGUUAAGUUGCUUUGUCAUGCAUGAAAACAGCAUAAAUGGAUAGAUUGGAUUUUUCUGAUAAUUUUACAUAUAUAAUUUGUUUCAUUUGAAGUUACGGUUGAAUUUCUAUGAAUUUUUGAAGUUUAGUUUGUUUUCUUAAAUUCAUAAAUCAUUUCUGAUUUAUUUUAAAUUCCAGAAAAUAUUUAUGACGUCAGCAGUGCAUCAGCACGACAUCAACAAGUCAACAGAGGCUGACCAGGUCAAACCUGACGACCGGGUCCCACAUGUCAUUGGCUCACUGUUUAACUGGGAGUUAAUCCCGUGUUGACUGGGAUUUGACCCGCUGCGGGGCCCGCCUGUUAGUGUCUGUUAGGGGGGAUUAGUGGUGAUUAGCGCCUAACUAAGCGACCACGUCAGCCCGCCGGAGUUUGGUCGGCGGCGACCUCAAACUGCGGCGGAAACUCGCCGGAAAACAACUACGGGGCUCGGUUUUGCGCGUGUUUUGCGUCUACGGGUAGCUGAAGGUGCGCCACACCCAACUGGGCGAGCGACAGCGGCUGGAGUGGCCUGUACUCGCCGGAGACGAGCUCGCGGCGGCGGCCAGAGUUCGGCUCAAGCGAGUCCGGGGCUGCAGUGCUCGGGCGAGCAAACGGAGUGGCUAGGCAUCCUCCUGGAGGCGCCAGGAGCGUAUUUGUACCCCUGGAGCGAGCAGGAGAAGCUCGGGAGCACGGGCUCGCCGGUCAUGGCGGACGGCGGCCUCGGGUGAUCUCAGGGCUGCGGCUAGAGGGCGAAAAUGACGCGGGGAAGAGAGGGGAAAACGGCAAAGCUCACAGGGAGGUCGAUGAGUAGCUCAGCGUGCUUGGGGACGCUCGGAGGUCGGCGAAUCGAGCGACGGUGUUCGUCGGAGCAGACGAGGAAGAUGGCGACGUUCUAGGGCCUCCGGCGUCGUACAGCUUGGUGGAGAGGACGAGGGGAAUGCGGCGGUGCUUCUGGGAUCAGCGGCAGGGCGAGGAGAGUAUGGUGGCUGCAUCUACGACGAGCGGCGGCGACGGCCUCCUCUCGGUGAGCACAGAAGCGAGAGGGGGAGGGGAUGAGGACGAGCGGGGGUGGGCGAGAGAGUUGGGGUGAUGCGUGGCGUCAUCCGGAUGCUUGGGGCAGCGGCAGGAAGCAGGAGGUGGCGGGGUGCGUGCCGGCGUGCCGCGGCCACACGCGCUCUGUCCUUCUGGCGCGCCGAGGAAGAUGACUAGCAAGGUGGGGGUGGGCUGGGCCGCUAGCGGGCCGCGAGGUGAGCACACACUCUCUCUCUAUCUGCUUUCCUAUUUUCUUCAGUUUUUCUAUUUUUCUUCUCUGUUUUGAUUUAGUUUAUAAACCAAAUCAUUUUUAUAAUUCCUAAAAAUAAUUGUGGGCAUUAACUGAAUUAUUACAGAGGCCCUUAGGUAUUUUCAGAAUUGUUGGAGCAUUUAAUAUUAUUUAUAGAAUUUAAAUGCCCCAAUUCAAAUACAUAUGAUUUAAUUCAAAAAUCCAGGAUUACCUAGAAAAAUGUGCACCAUUUUUUGCAGAGGUUUCCACCUUAACCAAAAAUCAUGAACUUUUCUCAAGGCAUUUUGGAUUCUUUGAUAAUUAUUUUAAGUUGAACCUAUUUGGAUUGAUUUGGUGCUAGGGUUUGAACAUCCCCAUUUCAAGUUCCAAAAAUUUAAACAUGAUGCAAGCAAAAAGCAAACACUAGGCAGUACUAGAAGCUAGGGAUGUGACAACUCACACCCACUAAACAAGAAUCUCGUCCCGAGAUUCAAGCGUAGGGUAAGAUGAAGGGGGGACACAAACUAACAUAAUCUUCACGAUACAGGUUGCACUUCAUAAAGGCGUUGAUUCAAUCACCAUCUUUGUCUCGUCGUCUUGCUCUGAGAAUUCCAGCCAACAUGACAACGAGAGGAAAAGGGAACUCUGGAAGGAUCGACUUCUCGAAGAUCGAACAACUCAGGAUCAACUCACGGAAUGAGACAUAGCAACAUCUCUCGAGCCGAGACACGAAGCACACAUCUAGAGGGAUGGAGUGGAACAGAUGACGAGGGUUCACUAGGUAGACAACAAUUCCACACCUAAGAGGGUGGUGAACGGUUGUCAAGUAGCGAGGAUUUGAGUUGCCAUGAUACCAUAACGAGACACCCUAGAGAAGGAUGACUCGUAGAAUUAUCCCUUAAGUGGUAAAAAGAAUUACUUUUGAUUCAGAGAUCAAUAAAAUUCUCUAUACCAGCCUCGGGCAAAUCUCAAGCAAUCAUUUGAAGGAGUUCGAAAGAAUGACAUACCCUGACUAGAAUGGAUGAUGUGGACUACCUUGUUGAAGACAACGUAAUGGAUGAUCUUUUCUUAUCACUGGAAAUGGAAGGGACCCAUGGCAGGACCACUUUUGAAGAUGAUCCUGUAUGAGAAUUACUAAGGAGGCAGCCCAUAGUGAAAUGGCACAAAGACGGUGCAAGCUAGGAACAAAAUGCAAAUGUUGGAAUGUUCCAACCAUCAUAUCUGCCUGAGAUUCAGAUCUGGUUAGAAACAGGAUACUUCAGACUCACAUGUCUGAAAAGAAGAGUUGCAACACAAGUCGACGAGAUAACGUUGCGAGACUCUCGGGAGAUGAACUACGAUAGCAAGCUCCAAAACAUGAGCAGGUUUUGCUACACACCUGUGAACACACUGUCCUAGACAAGCGUGACCACGUGGCAGUCUUAUAAUAAAACACUACCGAGUUCAGGUGGGGAACCAUAAUCGAGGAUAUUGAAGUCCUUGCAUAAGGCAUGCUCUUAAGAAGGAACUUCCUUUCCUUGAACAAAUCAAUCAGUGGCUUGGUGUGAUAGGGGAUACAUAUGGAAUGAAGAUGAUCAGUCUAUCAGACCAUAGAAUACUUCGCACGGGCAUGACUGACUUGGGAUGAUUCCAAAGGAAGCAAAAACAAACUUUCUCGAAUUCACGGCGGCAACUUACAUCUAAUGCACGUGAAUCAAAGGAAGUCACUCCUUUCAUCCAAACAUAGGUUUCAUGAACGGAACACGAAGAUAAUGCUUACAAAAGUUUCCAACACUAGCUUGAUGUUCAACAUGAAUCAUGGAGGAGAAAAAAUACCGCUGAUGGGCUCAACAGCAACUCAUCGGAAUUUCCAUAUCACUGGACUUCCACCAUUAUGUGAACAAUGUGAUAGUAUUGGUCAGACCAAAAGAUGUAACAGUGUAUGCUCGAGGAAUCAACCACGAGUAAGACAACAUUACAAAUAUCGUUGGUUCUGAUUUGAUUUGAAGAUAGCCCAUACUCAAAUCAAAGUUUUGAUAAGUCAAUAGGUCCAACAACUAAUCACAGGGACCAAUCGGUGAAGAUAUCAUCUUUCUUCAACAACCACACAAACACAAGGAUAUCCCUCUGAAUAUGAACUAAGUGGGACAAGCUUUCAUCUUCCAACUCUCCAAGUUGUUGUUUAGCUUAACCAACUAGCUCAGGGUAUCCGACACAGAUUCUUAGAGAAAGGGUGGUUUACAAGAAACCAACUUGAUCACGAGCUCAACAUAACAGUCAGGGCCAACCUGGUGAUACUUCCGAGAAGAUAUUCAAAAAAUCACGAACCAUCGAUAUGUUAUUAAGCUCGAGAACAAUCUUGCUUUUUAAGGCAAGACGAUGGGAUCAAAAGAGCAAGGGAUUGAUACAAUCCUAACUCAUUGAUCGAAGAGUGCACCAGGGAAAUGGACUAGGUAGCACGAUCAAUCUCAGGAUGGUGAUUCAGUAAUCAGCAUGCUAAGAAUGAAAGUAUUGUCCUUUAACUACCAAGCAACGGAGUUGCUAGGAAUAUUGAUUUCACACAUCACAAUUCACUUGUCGGCAUUCCGAUCACAACAACACAGAGACCGAGGAAUGAAUAAUGAUGGCGAGAAGUAUCACUAUACCAAGAAUUCAUGAGAUGGUGUGCAAUUCCCAUGACAUUCUUGAUAUAAAGAUGGUAAUACUCCAAGGUAGAACAGAACAAAAACUGGAUUGACAUUUUGAUCUGUGGAAUACAACUACUUUGACCCAAUCCUAGAUAUGGAUGAGGUACUGGAGUUUGUUUUCUCCUAGUCAUUCCGGAAUAGAAUGGCUUGACGGACCACAAGAGUAGAAGGCAUCGAUAACACGGAUGGACAACUAGUCUUGACCAACAAUUGACAGACGAAGGUCAAUUAACAACUAAGAAGGGACAACUCAAAGGAACAUAUCACUUUCUGAGUUGUGGAUGCAUAGAUUUAGUAUGUCAAACAAGUUCAACAUAUUUCUUCCAGAUAAUCCAUGCAGAAAGGUAGGACUGGCAGAUUCACAAUGCAGAAUGGAGAACUGAUCAAGAGCACUCUUAUUGUGAUGUUUUGGUUCAAUAAGGAACUUCUGCCAUAAGUAGUUCAUGGUAUUGGAAGGAGGAUUUACCACGGACCUCGAGGACUAUCGCAAAGGUUACUAAUAUCCUAAAGGAACUAGCAAACGCUAUCAACAUGAGGUAAGUAGAGUGAAUCUUGGGCUAAGAACCCAGAAAUAGAAUGCCUACUAACUCAAUGGCAUCACGGGAUGCUUUCGGGAAUAAUGGCUAGAAUCAUCACACUUGGGAUACAAAGCAUUGCUAGAUUACUGGGUGGUUCUCUAAGACACCUAGGGUCAUAAUAAUAGUUCCAGCAUAUAUGUCGAGGCAAUGGAGUACCUCAACAAACAGUUUAGUGUGCUUAAUCUGGCCCACAAGAACAUUGGAAACGGGAAGAGGGGAUUUGCAAAUGCAUCAGAAUAUCUAGAAACCUGGGAUGACUCGGACAACAUAACGGCUGUAAAUGCUCAAAAAGAUUUGAGACAUCCUGCAAAAUUGUGGCAUAACCACUCAACAUCACAAUAACAAGGUUCCGAGAUCAACUGUCAACAUACGGAAGUACUAGAAACUGAACCGAGCCUUGAAUCCAUCAAUCUUAUAAGUCUAUGGGUUAGUAACACGUGAUCCUGAUAGAAAGAAGAGAAAGCCAAGUUCCUUAACCCCGUAGGAAAGAUAGGAUGACUCGGAUCAGAAGGGCAUAAGGUAAAGGAGUAAAAAGAGCCUUACGUUCCCAUCCACAAUCAAUUCCCUUAUAUAACUAAAGCAUUUCUAGACUCAACUUCGACCAGUUUGGCUUGGUAAUCCUACAGUCAGUCAGGCUCUGAUACCAAAGUUGUCAGGACCCCGAUCCUAAGUCACAUCGAUCUAGCAUGUAACACAUCAUAUCACUUUGUGGCCUCACGCACGGUAUUCCCACGGGGGCCACCUUACCUGGCCCGGGACCGUUUGUGCCUUUUGGCUCACGUAUAUGAUAGUGUCGCUAGUAUCCAUAUGACAGAGAACCCGGGCCGACAUGACUAGUCGUGAACCCAAAGUGGCACUAACUUACGGGGACAGGCAUACAUGAACCAGCAUCGAACGUGUCGGUCAUCAGCGUGUGAAUCCGGGAUGUAGCAACUGGGCUAACAGGACUUCGGGAACCCCGGGCUGUAGCAGGCUAGCAGGACUCCGGAAGACACCGCGUGACAUUUCCCCGAAGGGAGAGACACAUGAACGAAGUGGAUCACAUGCCGGCCAGUCUAAGUGUUCCGGAGCAGUAGUAACUGGGCUAGCAGGACUCCGGUAAACCGGGCUGUAGCAGACUACCAUGGCUCAGUGGAAGCACUAGACUACAUUUCCCCAUAAGAGAGGCUACCAAGGAUAAACAACUAGGUUGUCGAAUCCACACAUACCAAUCAUUUCAAUCAUACACACAAUAUGCUCGAUAUGUGUAAAUACAACAUGGCAUCACAACAAAACUCUACGACUCAAAGUAUUUAUUCAUUAGGCUCCGAAGAGCCAAGUAUUACAAACAUGGGUCUCAUGACCCAACAUACAGAGCAUACAAGCAACAAGCACAUGCGGAAGCUUAACUUGUCUGAGUACAGACAACUAUAAAAGAACAAGGCUGAGAAGCCUGACUAUCUACAAGAUCCUGCUGAGGGCACACGAUCGUAGCCGAGGUAACAAGCUAAAUGUCGAAGUCCACGCGGAACUACUAGCAAGACUGAAGUCUCUCUGCAAAACAUAAAAUAGGAAAACGCGAGUACAAAUGUACCCAGCAAGACUUACAUCAGAACUAUCUACAUAUGCAUCGGUACCAACAAAGGGGGUGGUGGAGUUUGACUGCAGCAAGCCAGCUUUGACUCAGUGGCUAACCUGAACUACGACUGCAAGUAACUCUUUUGAGGUGGCGCACACGAGUCCACAUAUUCACCAUACAAUACACCACUAUGGAUCCGCUCCCGUCAACCUACGAGAAUGCCAUCCAUAGCACUCACGCUUAUCUUGCGAGUUUUAGAGUAUCCACUUCAAGUUAUCUAUGAACUGUACAGGCAACCCAGAAGUCCUUUACCGCGGACACGGAUAUUCGAAUAGAUCAUUUACAACCCUGCAGGGGUGUACUUCUUCACACACGAUCUCGCCACAUACCACCAUGUACACGUCGUGUAUCUCGGCAACCUUCAAGCGGAAGCCUGGCGAGGGAGUCGGCCAUGACCUGACUAACCACACAAGUCUCUAGUCCAGGUUUAUCGCCUAUUCGGGUUCCAUCCGCAAGGAGAUCCGGCCGGGGUGUCGCUCACGGCCCCAAACGAUGUGAGCAGGGUUCCCAAGCCCACCAUCCAGGUGCCACUUGGUACACCGUGCCACUGUGCCUAGUCUGUCCCAAGCCCACCUGUACUGGGUGCCACUUGGUAGACUACUAACACUACCUACAAACACCAGAAACUAGUUGCAACUCCUGGACAGAGAUCGAGUUGGUUAAUAAGUCGAGAGAGCUUGGAGCGCCCGGAGCCCAAUGUGUGGUAGUAACUGUUCAUGGAUCACAAACACAGAACUCAGUUCCUCAGGACGGCUGCAAUGAGACAACCCACCAUGUACUCCUACAUGGCCUCUCACCGCUACCUUUACCAAAUCGUGUUCACACACUUAGCUCUCAACAGCAGGACAUGUUCACCACAUUCCAAUUCAUCCCUGAUGAAUCAGACCUGACUCAACUCUAAGCAGUAGCAAGCAUGACAAACAAGCAUGAAUGAGUAGGCACACCAGGGCUCAAACAACUCCUACUCAUGCUAGUGGGUUUCAUCUAUUUACUGUGGCAAUGACAGGUCAUGCAGAGGAAAGGGGUUCAACUACCGCAGCAUGUAACAGUUGAAUCAUUGUUGUCCUAAUGCAGUAAAAGGGAGCAGGAGGGAGAGAGUGGGAUUGUAUCGGAAUGAACAAGGGGGUUUUGCUUGCCUGGCACUUCUGAAGAUAGUAUAGUUCUUCAUCGGUGCCAUCGAUCUCAUCGUCGGAACCACGUCUACUGAGAGGGGACAAAUACCAGCAAACAAGGAAGAAUACAAUCAAUGCAAUGCACAAUAUGAUGCAUGAUCAUGACAUAUCAAUAUACUGUGAUUUAAGCUAAUGCAACUAAAACCAGAAGGGUUUGAGCUAAUUUGAACCAAGGGUUCAAAUUCAAACUCAAGUUAUGAAUUAUAAUGUGCAUUAUCAUGUUUUGAUCUAUACAGCAAGGUUAAGUUGCUUUGUCAUGCAUGAAAACAGCAUAAAUGGAUAGAUUGGAUUUUUCUGAUAAUUUUACAUAUAUAAUUUGUUUCAUUUGAAGUUACGGUUGAAUUUCUAUGAAUUUUUGAAGUUUAGUUUGUUUUCUUAAAUUCAUAAAUCAUUUCUGAUUUAUUUUAAAUUCCAGAAAAUAUUUAUGAUGUCAGCAGUGCAUCAGCAUGACAUCAGCAAGUCAACAGAGGCUGACCAGGUCAAACCUGACGACCGGGUCCCACAUGUCAUUGGCUCACUGUUUAACUGGGAGUUAAUCCCGUGUUGACUAGGAUUUGACCCGCUGCGGGGCCCGCCUGUCAGUCUGUUAGGGGGGAUUAGUGGUGAUUAGCACCUAAAUAAGCGACCACGUCAGCCCGCCGGAGUUUGGCCGGCGGCAACCUCAAACUGCGGCGGAAACUUGCCGGAAAACAGCUAUGGGGCUCGGUUUUGCGCGUGUUUUGCGUCUACGGGUAGCUGAAGGUGCGCCGCAGCCAACUGGGCGAGCGACAGUGGCUGGGGUGGCCUGUACUCGCCGGAGACGAGCUCGCGGCGGCGGCCGGAGUUCGGCUCAAGCGAGUCCGGGGCUGCAGUGCUCGGGAGAGCAAACGGAGUGGCUAGGCAUCCUCCUAGAGGCGCCAGGAGCGUAUCAGUACCCCUGGAGCGAGCAAGAGAAGCUCGGGAGCACGGGCUCGCCGGUCAUGGCAGACGACGGUCUCGGGUGAUCUCAGGGCUGCGGCUAGAGGGCGAAAAUGACGCGGGGAAGAGAGGGGAAAACGGCGAAGCUCACAGGGAGGUCGAUGAGUAGCUCAGCAUGCUCGGGGACGCUCGGAGGUCGGCGAAUCGAGCGACGGCGUUCGUCGGAGUAGACGAGGAAGAUGGCGACGUUCUAGGGCCUCCGGCGUCGUACAGCUUGGUGGAGAGGACGAGGGGAACGUGGCGGUGCUGCUGGGAUCAGCGGCAGGGAGAGGGGAGUACGGUGGCUGCAUCUACGGCGAGCGGCGGCGACGGCCUCCUCUCAGUGAGCACAGAAGCGAGAGGGGGAGGGGAUGAGGACGAGCGGGGGUGGGCGAGAGAGUCCGGGUGAUGCGUGGCGUCAUCCGGACGCGUUGGGGCAGCGGCAAGAAGCAGGAGGUGGCGGGGCGCGUGCCGGCGUGCCGCGGCCACACGCGCUCUGUCCUUCUGGCGCGCCGAGGAAGAUGACCGGCAAGGUGGGGGUGGGCUGGGCCGCUAGUGGGCUGCGAGGUGAGCACACACUCUCUCUGCUUUCCUAUUUUCUUCAGUUUUUCUAUUUUUCUUCUCUGUUUUGAUUUAGUUUAUAAACCAAAUCAUUGUUAUAAUUCCUGAAAAUAAUUGUGGGCAUUAACUGAAUUAUUAGAGAGGCCCUUAGGUAUUUUCAGAAUUGUUGGAGCAUUUAAAAUUAUUUAUAGAAUUUAAAUGCCCCAAUUCAAAUACAUAUGAUUUAACUUAAAAAUCCAGGAUUACCUAGAAAAAUGUGCACCAUUUUUGGCAGAGGUUUCCACCUUAACCAAAAAUCAUGAACUUUUCUCAAGGUAUUUUGGAUUCUUUGAAAAUUAUUUUAAGCUGAACCUAUUUGGAUUGAUUUGGUGCUAGGGUUUGAACAUCCCCAUUUCAAGUUCCAAAAAUUUAAACAUGAUGCAAGCAAAAAGCAAAAACUAGGCAGUACUAGAAGCUAGGGAUGUGACACAUACCAUGGAACCUUCCGACGGGACACAUUUCCAAGCAUGCGUGCGAGGAUAAGCCGGUGUCCGGGAUGGAGUGGACGCCUUCGCCGUACGUCGUGUAUGUCUUCUCGUCGCAGACCGGUGAGUGGGAGGAGAGGUCGUUUGUUCGGGAAGGAAAGGCCGCGGAACGGUCACCGAUUGUAGGUCGAAAGAAAGACGCAUAUUGCGUUACGCUGCUUACUGGCAUGGAGCACUCUACGUCUCUUGCGAAGACGAUUUUGUUUUGAGGUAUAUAUGUAUAUCUUCUCACACCUUAUAUGUGUUCGGAUUCCGCAUUUUUUUAAUUUAUUCAUCACACAGCAACUACAUUCCAGAUGUUCUAAUGAUGAUCCCAUAUUUUGCAGAAUGAACUUGUCAAAUAAUAAAUACCAAGUAAUUCAGUGCCCUCAAGGAAAGAAGCUAGCGUCUUAUGCACCUCGUCUCGGCAAAUCCAAGAAGGGUGUCUAUUGCGCAUUCCGUGUUGCACGUGAUGCAUUCUAGCUAUGGUUCCUUAACGAGACGUAUGGAAAGAUGGAGUGGGUGUUGAACAAACUCCUUUACUAGAGCAAUUAGACUGGUUUUUUUCUUCUCCCGAAUGGAUUUUGAAAUUCCCCAAUACAAUUGCAAAACCUCUUGCCCGUCCAAUCUCGGAUCAUGUGCUUGUAUUCUUUCUGUGGAAACUUCGAUCCCAAGAUCUAAGCUUUUCAGAUUUGAAUUUUUUUGGCCCUCUCACCCUGGUUUUUUGGAGGGGGUGAAAUCAUCAUGGAAUGCUCCCACUAAGGCUUCCUCCAGUGCCACAAGAAUUUCUGCAAAAUUAAAGAGGUUGAGGUAUGCCUUAAAAAAUGGAGUAAAUCGAUCUCUAAGCUAAAACUGUUAAUUGAAAACUGUAAUAGAAUUCUGCUCCAUAUAGACAACCUUGAGGAUUUGAGGCAGCUGUCUAUUCCUGAAGCCAAUUUUAGAAAAAAAGCACAUCUAUUACGUUUGCUUAAAUAUCAAAGUGAGUACUGGAAAAAACGUUGCACGUUUCGGUGGGCUGUCCAAGGUGAGGAAAAUACUAAAUAUUUUCAAGCACGUGCAACUGAAAGACUGCGGAGAAAUGCCAUCACAAAUCUAGUAUUAUCUGAUGGCCGCUUGAUAGAAAAUCAUGAUGAAAAGCCAGCAGCGUUUUAUGAUUGCUUUAAGAAGAGAAUGGGGGUGUCAUCUCAGCCUGUCUAUGAUUUUGAGCUUGCCAACUUAAUCCAAAAAUCUCAGGGUCUGGAAGAACUUUCAAUACCAUUUACGAAAGAAGAAAUUGACAAUGUGAUCAAAAUCAUUCCGACUGAUCGUGCACCAGGGCCUGACGGUUUCAAUGGGCUCUUUCUUAAAGUAUGUUGGGAUAUAAUCAAAGAAGACUUUUACAUUCUGUGUGAGGACUUCUGGAAGGGGACAAUCAAUUUGCAAUGUUUGAACACGUCUUUAAUCACACUAAUACCGAAGAAGCUGACACCUGAGUCGGUCAAUGAUUAUAGACCAAUCUCCUUGCUAAACUGUGUGCUCAAACUUAUAACAAAGAUUCUCUCUGAAAGGCUUCAACGCUGGAUUCUAAAGGUAGUACAUCGAAACCAGUAUGGAUUCAUUAAAACUAGGACAAUUCAAGAUUGUCUCGGUUGGGCCUUCGAGUAUUUACAUCAAUGUAAACAAUCAGGCAAGGAAAUUGUAAUUCUAAAACUAGAUUCCGAGAAGGCCUUCGACACGAUGGAACAUUCUUUCAUUUUGAAAAUGCUUGAGUGCAAGGGUUUUGAUGACAGGUGGUGUAUGUGGAUUAAGAUGUUGCUGCAGUCAGGAUCUUCAUCAAUUCUACUAAACGGUAUACAUGGCACAGAAUUCCAAUGUAAGCGAGGUGUGAGACAGGGUGACCCAAUUUCGCCCUUGCUGUUUGUGCUCGCGGCAGAUUUACUGCAGUCUUUAAUUAAUAAAGCCUGGCUGGAUGGUUUGAUCUCACUUCCAAUUAAUCAACCUGCUUCUGAAGACUACCCAGUCAUACAAUAUGCCGACGAUACAUUAAUCAUACUCCCAGCAAAUCAACAAGAGCUGCAGACAAUUAAGGAGAUUCUUGAUUCUUAUGCCCGGGCAACUGGUUUGAAAAUUAAUUACGCUAAGUCUCAAUUAAUGCCAAUCAAUGUAAAUGCUCAAAAAGCUCUGGAUCUGGCCAAUGCUCUUGGGUGUCAAGUUGGGGAGAUGCCGUUUACCUAUCUAGGUUUGCCUCUUGGUACAACAAGAACCACUGUUAGAGAGUUAAUGCCUUUGGUCGACAGAAUUGAGAGAAGGUUGACAUGAACAACUAUCUGGUUAUCCUAUGGAGAGCGAGUUCAGCUGAUUAACUCUGCGCUAUCGUCACUGCUAUCUUUUGCUAUGUGUGUCCUAAAACUUCCACUCAAGUUGAUUGAUAUCUUUGAUAGAGCAAGAAGGCACUGUUUAUGGAGGAAAGAAGUGGACAGAGAUGCUAAAACCCACUCCUUGGCUGCUUGGGAGAUGGUUUGUCGCCCAAAGAAAAAAGGGGGUCUUGGAAUUUUAAACCUACAAAUCCAAAACAAUGCUCUACUGCUCAAGUACCUGCAUAAAUUCAUUCACAAACAGGAUGUCCCCUGGGUAAUGCUAGUUUGGAAUGCCCAUUAUGACGAUACACCUCCCCAUGCAAAACCACCUUGUGGUUCUUUUUGGUGGCAUGAUGUUUUCUCUCUGAUGGAUAUUUACCGUCGGAUUACCUCCUGUAUACCUGCCGCGGGGGACACGGUUCUGCUUUGGAAAGAUGUUUGGAUCAAUGAAAGUCCACUGAUGGACUCCCAUGAGCAUCUUUUUUCGUUUGCUAACAACGAGGACAUCUCAUUGGCGUAGUACUACAACAACAAUGAUCACGCGGGCAACUUCAUGCUUCCUCUGUCAAUGGAAGCCAGAACAGAACUGGAUAAUUUACAAGAGAUCAUGGAAGGAAUCAACCUGGAAGCUAUGGGGACUGAUGAAUGGAUCCUUUGCUGGGGUGAUGCUGAUUUUAAACCGAAGUAGUUCUACAAUUUCAUGUUCAGAAAUAUAUUGGCUCCCCAAUGCAUCACCUCAGUUUGGAAAACAAAAUGUAUCAUGAGACAUAAAGUGUUUGCAUGGUUGAUGUUGCAUGACAGGGUCACCACAAGAGAUUUUCUGCUGAGAAGGCACUUUAAUAUUGGAGAAAAUCACAAUUGCCCAAUGUGCAAUAUGGAGGCUCUAGAAACAAAUGCCCAUCUAUUUUAUGAGUGUCCUUUUGCUGCAAAGUGUUAGGAGGUUGUGGGCAUAGAUUGGGAUAAUCAUCCAGACAUACAACACAAGUAUGAGAGAGCUAGGGCAAGGUGGCAGGGACCUUUGUUCAAAGAGAUAACCAUAUUGACCUCCUGGAAUAUUUGGAAGCAAUGCAACAGAGAGAUUUUUGAUGGAGAGGCGGCCACGCAUGCUGAGUGGCUGAGGAAACUCAAGGAAGAUUUUGUGAUCUUGGGUUACAGGAUCAACCCUCAAAAAUUAACCUUUUUUAGAAGGCUUUAGCAACUCUUUAUCUUUGUAAUAUCUUGUUUUACAUAGGCUAGUCUAGCACCUUCUGAGUUCUUUUUAAAGCCAUGUAAAACAACCCUUAUCUAUAAUGUUAACCAAUGGUUAACAUUUUAAAGAAAUAAAGAAAAAAGCAACAUUAGGAGGCUCUCCUGCUGUUUUCACUGGUAAAAAAAACAAUGACAUCAACUUUGACCAUGUUCCUAAAUGCCCUUGUAACUUUGCUGGGGGAUCCUGGAUCUUACAAGGAAGCGACAGUGACGAAGAGCUAGUCGAAGACAACUCUGAAUGGGAUCCGAACAAUGAUAAUGUGGUUAGCGCUGAAGAUUGGGUUGCCAAGCACGGUUCUAACUCGACAAUUGAUUUUCUUGGAUUUCAUCCUUACAAAGAGAUUGCUCUGUUUGAACCGAGCGGCAAUGUAAUGGCCUACCAUAUGAACACUUUGAAGGUUCGGGAUCUAGGUCAUAUUAAAAUGGGGAGGAAAGAGAUUGAAUGUUCUUUCCCAUACAUGCCAUGUUGGAUGGGGCCGUUACCUGGAAGCCAUUAUAGAACCCAGUUUUGUUCAUAGUGGUUAAAGUCAUGAUGUUUAGUUUGUAACACAAUUUAUUUUUAUUAAAAAAUAAUUUAGGCUCGUGUAUCACAUUUUGCUAAUUGUUCUUAUCUAUGGGUACAUUUUGCGACAUGGCACGUAAGAAAGCUUGAAUUUGAUUUAAUUGUUUUGCCUUUUCAUCUAGCCUCGUUGAAAAUUCCCAUAUGUAUAAAAGCUUUGCUUUAGUACACACCCUCUAAAGCAAAUUGCAUAGAUCUUAAAGAAACGAUGGAUGUCGAUACAAUGUACCCCCUUCAUUCGAUGUGAAGGGCCUAAUACACAUUUCACAAUUUACUUUAACCAUUGAUUAGACAAAUAAUACAUGAUGUGUAUUUUUUUGCGGGCAAUUCAGAGAGCUUUUAUUCAUAUGAGAGCAUUCCUAGGAUAGUCAACCAUAAGGCUGGUCACUAGGAAGCUAGGAGUUACAUCCAUCCAACAUUCGGUCACAUUCAGAGUGCAAGCAUGCUUAGCACAGAGAUGCGCCGGUAAGUUUGCUGACCUAUUAAUAUGCUGAAUAUCAAAGGAAAUAAAGUGAUUACUAAGCUCUCCUAUUUCUAGCAGAAUCGGAGCCACAAUUGAAAGGUGUUUACCAUCGAAUUAGUAUUUGGAAGGUGUUUUCAAUCAUAUUUUUUCUAUGGCAUACAUCUCAUAAAUUGGUGAAAUUAAAUCUCAAAUAUGUAAUAGGCCUUAUAUCUUUACCUAAUCUAUAUUUUACCUACUAAUAAACGGAGGAAAGCUGUUGCCUGUCUGUCGUGCUUUUUUGCAACAACAAAAAAACCAACAGUUUCCUGAAAUCAACCUGCCGUCCAGGUUGAAGUGAGUCAACCUGCUUCUAAGGAAGUACUGGUUUGGUUUAGAUUAUUUCAGGUUACUCUAUGUACGAUGCUUUCUAUUUUUUGUGGCAUCGGUUGAGAUUUAAAAAAAUCAACAAAAAAACAGAGGGGUGUAUCUGGUGCAUCGGGGCAAUUGGUGCUAGCAGUGCACCGGUCCCUCGUUGCACAUUUAAAAAUGUUUGAAAAUAUCCGGAAAAAAUUUAGUGCAUUGACACACCAUCAACGUAUAUUGUCACAAAAAUUCAAAUGAAAAUUUGAUACAUAGCUCGAGACACAAAAAUGACAAAUUUGAUACUAAAUAGUACAUAACACAAGUUGGGCUGCAGUUUUGGCCCAUUAGCACAUUGAUGUCAAAUUUGUCAUUUUUGUAUCUCGAGCAAUAUUUCUAUCUUUGAUUUGAAUUUUUGUGACAACAUACAUUGAUGUUGUGUCAAUGCACUAAUUUAUUUUUUCCAGAUUUUUUCAAACAUUUUUUAAUGUGCAGCGGGAUCCGGUGCACCGGUUGUCGUGGGAGUGAGUCUGAUAGUAAGAGUAGGGGGUACGUAGGAGGAGGCAGUGUCCUAGCUAUGGCGAGGUUGUACACACAAGUUUACGAGUUCAGGCCCCUCUUGGAGGAGGUAAUAGCCCUACGUCUCGGUGCCGCGAAGGCUUUGUCGACUGGAUAUGUGUGAAAGUUACAGGGGGUGCGAACCCUUGUGCCAGAGGAGGGGUGGCUUAUAGAGAGUGCGCUAGGCCCCUCGCAUCCCUCGGUUACAUAGGGUUCAAUGUGAGUUAAGACAAGGACGUUACAAGUAACGCUUGCUAUUAAUGAUCUUUAUGGCGACGGAGUGAAUGCCUGACCAUUGCCAUCCUGGGGUGACCUUAGGCCUUCUGUGUUCCGAGUGAUUCUUUGUGCGGUCGAGUGUUAUUACCGUGGUCUAGUGGAAUUGGGAUAUCUGAGUGGAAUCUUUCGUCGAGUGGAUUACGCUCCAGGGUGAUUUCAAUCGGCAUCUUUUGUUGUACUUUGUAUGUCUCUGACUUUAGGACAGUGUCCUUGGGUAGGGUGUCUAGGUCAGGCCUAAGACCCUGCCCUAGGUACAUGUCAUCGUCAUUAGCCCCUGAAUGGAUUGAGUUCCGAGUGAAGAAGGGUUGAAGAAGGUUCUAACUCAAUCCAAUGCUUCGGAGGCAUUUCAUCAAGGUCCUGAAAGCAUACUAGUACUUUAACCCUGCAUCAGUCGCCUCGAUUGAUUCUGGCCUCUGAGAUCACCGAGUGAAUUAUGUUGCAAAUCUUCGAGUAAAUUGGAAUGCGAUAUCUUUGAUGCGAUCGACUGCUCUGCAGUCUUCGGAUCUCACGGGAUUCGAAAUUUUGGAGAAGCGCGCGGGACGGGGUGUGGCGCAGUAAGCGGAACGAGUAGAUAGGGGCUCCUCGAUCUUCGCGCCGCCUUUUUCGCCACGUAUCGAGCCAGCGCCUAUCACGGGAUGCGAUAGGAUCACUCGGGCCCACGGGUCAGCCACUCGGAAGAAGGCCCAUAAAAAGCGCCGAGGCCGAUGCAAGGCACUGUGCACUCCAUUCGUUCUCCUUUCUCCCCGCUUCUUCGCUUCAUCUCUUCUUGCUCUCAUGCCUUCGCCCGUUCCUCUCAAGCUCCGCCGCCAUGGUGAAGGAGAAGAUCGCGGCUCUGGAGCGCGCAAAGACGGCGUCGCUGAAGGGCAAGAAGACGGCUCGGGGGUCGUCGUCUCGGUCCGGUCUGCCUCCUGAUUGGAUCCAGGGGGACUGGAUUCGCUCCACCGUCGUGAGGGAAGACUUGGAGAAUCUUUCCGCCGACGGCUUGAUUGCUCAUGGGUCCUGGAGGUUGCCGGAGGGGGAAUCCGAGCCCUAGCCGCGCGAGGGUGAGCGCGUCCUCCUCACCACCCACGUCGACCGAGGUUUCUCCCUGCCCCCGCAUCCAUUCUUUCGGGGUUUUUUGAACUUCUUCGGUGCUCAGAUCCACCACUUUCCUCCCAACACAGUCUUGUACCUUGCCGCAUUUAUUUCAAUGUCUGAGAACUUCCUUGGGUGUCAGCCGCACUGGGGUCUGUUCAAACACAUUUUCACCUGUCGAUCUCAGUCGAUGAAGAACGCUAACCCAGAUGACGAAAAGACGCACGUGAUCCAAAUGUUCGGGGGGUUAGGGAUCCAAAUGAGAGGUAGGAGUACUCCCCCCCAUGACCUUUCCCGAGUCAGUUAGAGGAUGGCAGCCGACCUGGUCCUAUUGCAAAGAUAUUCCGACUCCCGGUCAGUCGCCCGGUCUCCCUCCUUUCUCUCUGGAGAGACUCCGCACUCCUCGUUCACUGACUGUAGAGACUGAGGAGAAGGGGGAGGUGCAAAUGUUAGUCGACGCGGUCGUUGCAUUAGUCCAGGGCGGAGUGACUGGCAUGGAUCUGCUGGAGGUGUUCCUCAGUCGACGCAUACAACCUCUCCAAGCUCGUGACCACCUGAUGUGGAUGUAUUCGGGCGUUGAUGACACCGCUCGGGUCCACCCGGAGGAGGUCACCGAGGAGACAGUGGCUCAGUGGCUUGAUGUCUACUACGCAACCUUCUUCUUGUAGACGUUGUUGGGCCUCCAAGUGCAGAGGUUUGUAGGACAGUAGCAAAUUUCCCUCAAGUGGAUGACCUAAGGUUUAUCAAUCCGUGGGAGGCGUAGGUUGAAGAUGGUCUCUCUCAAACAACCCUGCAACCAAAUAACAAAGAGUCUCUUGUGUCCCCAACACACCCAAUACAAUGGUAAAUUGUAUAGAUGCACUAGUUCGGCGAAGAGAUGGUGAUACAAGUGCAAUAUGGAUGGUAGAUAUAGGUUUUUGUAAUCUGAAAAUAUAAAAACAGCAAGGUAACUAAUGAUAAAAGUGAGCGUAAACGGUAUUGCAAUGCUAGGAAACAAGGCCUAGGGUCCAUACUUUCAACAAUAAUAACAUAAUUGGAUCAUAUAACUAUCCCUCAACAUGCAACAAAGAGUCACUCCAAAGUCACUAAUAGCGGAGAACAAACGAAGAGAUUAUGGUAGGGUACGAAACCACCUCAAAGUUAUUCUUUCGGAUCGAUCUAUUCAAGAGUUCGUACUAGAAUAACACCUUAAGACACAAAUCAACCAAAACCCUAAUGUCACCUAGAUACUCCAAUGUCACCUCAAGUAUCCGUGGGUAUGAUUAUACGAUAUGCAUCACACAAUCUCAGAUUCAUCUAUUCAAACCAACACAAAGUACUUUAAAGAGUGCCCCAAAGUUUCUACCGGAGAGUCAAGACGAAAACGUGUGCCAACCCCUAUGCAUAGGUUCAUGGGCGGAACCCGCAAGUUGAUCACCAAAACAUACAUCAAGUGAAUCACGUGAUAUCCCAUUGUCACCACAGAUACACACAUGCAAGACAUACAUCAAGUGUUCUCAAAUCCUUAAAGACUCAAUCCGAUAAGACAACUUCAAAGGGAAAACUCAAUCCAUUACAAGAGAGUAGAGGGGGGAGAAACAUCAUAAGAUCCAACUAUAAUAGCAAAGCUCGCGAUACAUCAAGAUCGUAUCACCUCAAGAACACGAGAGAGAGAGAUCAAACACAUAGCUACUGGUACAUACCCUCAGCCCCGAGGGUGAACUACACCCUCCUCGUCAUGGAGAGCGCUGGGAUGAUGAAGAUGGCCACCGGUGAGGGUUCCCCCCCUUCGGCAGGGUGCCGGAAUAGGGUCCCGAUUGGUUUUUGGUGGCUACAGAGGCUUGCGGCGGCGGAACUCCCGAUCUAUUCUGUUCCCCGAUGGUUUUAGGGUAUAUUGAUAUAUAUAUAGGUGAAAGAAGUCGGUCAGAGGAACCACGAGGGGCCCACGAGGGUGGAGGGCACGCCCAGGGGGUGGGCGCCCCCCUGCCUUGUGCCUUCCUCGUUGCUUCCCUUACGUACACUCCAAGUCUUCUGGAUUGCUUCCGUUCCAAAAAUAACUCUCCCGAAGGUUUCAUUCCGUUUGGACUCCGUUUGAUAUUCCUUUUCUUCGAAACACUGAAACAAGGGAAAAAACAGGAACUGGCACUGGGCUCUGGGUUAAUAAUUUAGUCCCAAAAAUAAUAUAAAAGUGCAUAGUAAAACCCAUUAAACAUCCAAGAUGGAUAAUAUAAUAGCAUGAAUACUUCAUAAAUUACAGAUACGUUGGAGACGUAUCAUGGCUACGAAGCAUCACUAGUAAUAAGGACAACCCUUGUGGAGCCAGGAGGAUUUUGCCAUUCGACGCCAACAAUGCUCCAGAUGAGGUCAGGCUCGAUUUACCAAGUGUUUUUUCAAUACGCAAUUGUUCUUGAGUCUGACUGACACUUGUAACUUGUGUCUUGUAGGUUUUCACCAAAAUGUACUCAAUGUCGAACGGGGAACAACACCAGGAAGGAGCAGAGAGUGAUGGUGAAAGCGCCAAUUGGCAAUAUGCAGAUGACAGCGAGGAGGACAGCGAGGACUCUGGUAGCAGUGAGGAAGUCGACUCGCCGCCCCGCUCUGAGCGACGCUCUAAAUAGUCGCAAGACCCUGCGGGCGGAUGUGGCAAAGCAGAUCCGUCGAGGGCAAAGAUUCCAAAGCGGACUCGGACGUCAACCCCAGACCCAGCAGAGAAGGCCACGAAGCAGGACAAAAUUGUUCCACCCAAGCCUCGGAAGGCCCUGCCCAGGAUUAAGGUGGUCGUGCCCGUUGCCUCAACAUAAGUGCUUCCUUUUCCUUGUCUUUUCACUACAAAAAAAAGACACAUCCGUGACAUUUUGGGCCGAACGAAAUUUUUUUAUGUCAUACUUAUGACACUUCUAUGACGAUAAUUGUGACAAAACCAGGUAUCAUCAUAGAUUUGGUGGGGUCCUACUUCUAUGACAAAAAAUCAUGACAGAAAAUGGGCUUUUCGUCCUGGGCGGGCCGGAGACGCAGCUGCAUGACAUUCUUUGGGCCGUCCAUGAUGGAAAAAACCAUGGUAGAAGCGAGGGCGCGGAAAAUAUCGGGGAGUCCCCGGUUACGGUGGGUGGUCGGGGGCCGAGCGAUGCGCGUUUCUCUCAUACGUACGCGCGUGUGUGCGAGGCGUUGGGCUCUAACUGAACCCGAGCGAGGCGUUGGGCUCUAACUGAACCCGAGCGAUUGCACUGCAGGCUACAUGUUACUGAACCCGAGCGAUCGAUCGAUCGCUGUUAACUGAACCCAAUCGAGCGAUUCCUUCGCUACUGCUGCUAACUGAAGCCGAUCGAUGCUGCCUCUGGAUGAACAGUGAGCGUUGCGGGGGGGUUUGGAUGAACAGUUCCCGGUGGGGGUGGAUGAACAGGACCCCGUGGUGUUGCCUCUGGAUGAACAGUACCCCGAUCGAUCGAGCCGGUUGGGGCUGGAUGAACAGACCCCGUGGAGGGCAGGAUGAACAGUAGACGGUGGAGGGCUGGAUGAACAGUAGCCCGUGGAGGGGUGGUUGAACAGGAGCCCGUGGAGAGGGCGGGUUGAACAGUAGCCGGUGGAGUAGCGCGCGGUGGAGGCUGGAUGAACAGGAGCCCGUGGAUGAACAGUCGCAGGUGGAGGCUGGAGGAGGUCGACGGUGGAUGAACAGUAGCCCGUGGAGGCUGGAGGGGGUCGAUGGUGAGAUGAAUAGUAUCCCGUGGAGUCCCGUUUUGCGGUGCGCCACACCCCUCCCGAUGAACAGGACCCCCGUUUCGACCAUAGCGCUCCAACACAAGUCUGUUUCCUCCGUUUUGCGGUACGCCACACCCCUCCCGAUCAACAGGACCCCCGUUUCGACCAUAGGAGGUCCGUUUCCUCCGUUUUGCGGUACGCCAGACCCCUCCCGAUGAACAGGAUCCCAUUUCAAACGUGGCCGGUCGAACACAAGGUCGUUUCCUUCGUUCUGCGGUACGCCAGGCCUCGUUUCUAUCGGUUGUUCCGUCCAAGCCCUCCCGAUGAACACGACGACGCAUUCCGUUCCGACCCAGCCGGUUGGCUCCCCAUGAACACGACGACGAUGUUGUUUCUCCGUUCCGACCCAGCCAUGUACACGAGCCCUGGCCGUACAUAUGGGCAAGUAGGCGUUCGAGACCCUGCCCGUAUGUAUGUACGUGGCCGUAUUUUCUUUCUUGCACACUAGNNNNNNNNNNNNNNNNNNNNNNNNNNNNNNNNNNNNNNNNNNNNNNNNNNNNNNNNNNNNNNNNNNNNNUGUACGUACGUGUACAUGCUACCUGCGUGCCUCUACUACGACACGUGCGCGCCUCUACAUCGACCAGUAUGUACGUACACGUUCGCGACCAGAAUGACAACGCUACGUACGCUUCGACCAGGUGGGUCCCGACUGUCAGGCACUUCCUUGCCUGCGAAGAUGUAGCUGGUGGGUCCCAGCAGUCAGGGGGGCAAAUCGUUUUUUUUGCCCGGACGCACUUCCUUGCAUGCAAAGAUGUAGCUGGUGGGUCCCAGCAGUCAGGGGGAAACGUUUUUUUUCGUGAAAUACAGUGGCCCGUCCGGUGGGUCCCCGCUGUCAGGUGGAGGAAUAAUUAUUUUGCGUGUAAUAAGGAGGUACUUCCUUGCUGCGGCCGUGGACCCAGCUGUCAGCCUCUCCACGUACAGUCCACGUCCAAUGGAAGCCGUUCCUUGACCACGUUGACCACGCCGCGCCGAGAGCACCAGGGCGGUGGACGAUGGCGAGGCCUAGGAAGGGGACGACACGGAGCCGGGGAAGACGCGACAGUGGAAGCCCGCGCGGAGAGGAGUACGAGGGUUCACUGGUUCAGCGGCGGUGUGAGGCUACCGUCGCCGCAGGGCCUGGCCAGCGGUGGGAAUAGUAGGGGGCGGUGAGGCCUUCACGGCAGCACAGCCGGCCAUGGGAGGCAGGAGCAUGCGGCACGACCGGCACUGCUUUGGGCGGCUGGAGCAACAAGACCAGAGGUUGAAGAAGCACUACAGCCGUUGGAUGGAUAUCGUACGGUCACUGGAGCUAGAAUCGUUCAUAUUGACUAAGUUGACAAAGCACUCCGUCCCCGUCAACUUAGUAGGCACACAAGUCAGCCUCCCACCAAGGUGGGUCCCAACCAGCAGGGGGAGUAUUCAUUUUUUUGUGCGUAAUAAGGAGGCACUUCCGGUGGGUCCGAGCUGACAGCGAGGGGAACGUUUUUUUCGCGCAAUACGGUGGNNNNNNNNNNNNNNNNNNNNNNNNNNNNNNNNNNNNNNNNNNNNNNNNNNNNNNNNNNNNNNNNNNNNNNNNNNNNNNNNNNNNNNNNNNNNNNNNNNNNNNNNNNNNNNNNNNNNNNNNNNNNNNNNNNNNNNNNNNNNNNNNNNNNNNNNNNNNNNNNNNNNNNNNNNNNNNNNNNNNNNNNNNNNNNNNNNNNNNNNNNNNNNNNNNNNNNNNNNNNNNNNNNNNNNNNNNNNNNNNNNNNNNNNNNNNNNNNNNNNNNNNNNNNNNNNNNNNNNNNNNNNNNNNNNNNNNNNNNNNNNNNNNNNNNNNNNNNNNNNNNNNNNNNNNNNNNNNNNNNNNNNNNNNNNNNNNNNNNNNNNNNNNNNNNNNNNNNNAGUUUGUUAAAAGUACAGUCCAUUUCAACCAACCGUUCAAAACAGAAUUCAAUAAAAUUUCCCACAUUUUGAUGGGAUCCGAAAUAUUUUUAUCCCGAAAUUUCUAGUCAGAUUAAAUACAAUUUCAAUAUAAAUUUAUAUUACGUAAAAAUCCAACGAAACAUUGCGCUCGCAACAAUUAAUGAAAUUAAAAUUUUCAAUAUCCAAAAAUAAUAUUUUAUAAAGUAAUUACGUGUUUGGUGCAUUUUUUAUAGUUACUGCCCAGUUUUUAUAAUUACAUCCCAUUUAUUAUUUCUUAAAGCCCAUUUUCUUGUUAAGCCUAAUGCAUCCCUCCUAGAAAAGAUUUGCAGCCCAGCGGGGUGGAGAAUAACAACUUGACCUUGCCUAUGUAUUCCUAAAAAAAGUAUAGCUGGGCUAGCCAUUUUCAGCUUGAAAAAAAUUAAUAUCUGGGAUAGAUAUCUGGCCUGGGCUGGACGGGCCAUAGCCCGCCCAGUUAAUAGCUGCAGCGAUGUUUUCGUUGUUGUUCAGAGGAGAAAAAUUAAUAUCUGGGCUAAACAUCGCUCAAGAAAAACUCUGCAGUGCUAACACCUCAAAAACACAAAUACUGCUCGAGCUGCUUGGUCCCAGCUGUCGGCCGCUUCUUGUGCAAUUCUCUCGUUUAUUGACUACAUAGGUUGACAAUUGUGUGGGACUGUGAUGUCAGGAAACCAGGAGGAAGCAAAAAAAUUAUAGUUUUAUAUACUAAUGAGGAGGCACUUGCUGUCAUCCUCUCCAAGUAAAGUCAUCUCCUCAUCCUCAUGUCCUUUGACCAUGUUGACAACGCGAGACGGUGGCGCCACGGCGAGCGCAACAACUCGAAGGACGACGGAGAGGGCCUCGCGGGCCCUACGGAUGGUCUGAUACAACGCCCGCUGCUCAUUCGGGAAGCCAGGAUCAUAGGGCCACAUGUCUGCGACUGCAUUGUCGUUCGCUUGUUCACCGGUGCUCGUUGAGGAGACGGAGGUUGCAGCACAGGUCCUCCUGCGCUGGUAGCUCUUCCGCCAUUAGGGCGUCGAAGUGCGGCCGCACCUGCUCUAUGGUGAACACGGCAUGAACCGGCUUGGACAGUGGCGCCGGCUCCUGGUCGGAAGCUACGUCCAUCGUCUGAUUGUCGUCGCUCAGCUCGGCGAGGUAGCUGGCGAGCCAGCAUGUCCGGCUGCUGGACCGACCCGCUGCCAAGCAUGAGUCUGACUGCCCUGGCCCAUCCAGACCGCCUCCCUCGCCCGCGCGCGCUUUCCACCCGAAACGGUCAGCGCCGACCGCCCCGCUUCCCGGUGCAUGCAAUUGCUCCGCCUUCAAACGACACAAGUGCCGUCCGUCCGUCCUUCUGCCGCCCACAUUAAUGAUACGCGGUUGCCGAGGCGGCUACUCCGGCGCCACAGGUCCAUCCCUCCGUCGCCCACCAUUGCUAUAUAAACUACUGCGCCGGCCAUAGCCGCAGUCAUCCGCAUCCAUUCCUAUUCUCCUGUCCACACCACUACUGCCCACCAUGGCUUCCUAGCGCUCCAGCGCUCUUCGGGACGGGCGGACGACGGACCACAAGGAGAUGGCAGCCAUUGCUGCCGACUGGCUGGCCGGCAGGCAGCCGGAGGACGACGACGUCCCAAUGGAGAACAUGGUAGUCGACGAUCCGGCGCCAACCCCCUCCUCCACGCCAUCCUCGCCGGUGCAUUGCACCAUGACCAUCGGCGAGGCCCGUGCCCAAUAUAUGGACACGGUGAGGCAGAAGCGUGAGGAGCAGUUCCGGGAGGCGCAUGCCGACGCCGCCUACAACCACCAUCUCUUCCAGGAGCACCUGCAGGCGGAGGAGCAGAUCGCCGCGGAGCGGGCGGAGCAGGAGGCGCUGCUCAACUUGUACCGCUCCGCCCGCGAGGGCCGCCUCGAGCACUGGCGGUACCGCAUGCGGGUGGCGGAGGCUGCGGCUGCCUACAAAGAGGGCGAUGAAGCGGCCGAGGCGCUGUUUGGCGAGACCGAGGACGAGGCAGAGGACAAUGCCGGCUCCGACGAGUCCGCGCUCCGCUGGCGUCGACGAGGCCCUGCUUAGCCGAGGCCCCGCAGCGCCAACAACAAGGCAGAGGACACCGCCGGCUCCGCCGAGGCCCCACCCUGCCGGCAAUGAGGGGGAGGAUUUUCCCCCGCUCCGCCGAGGCGCCGCCCGCUGGCAACGAGAUAGAGGACAUCGCCGGCUCCGCCGAGGCCCCGCCCCACUGCCAACGAGGCCGCGCCACACAGAAAAUGAGGAAGAGUAGAACACGGUAGCUAGGUCGCCGCCGCUCAGGUCCAAGUAAGGCCACCGCUGCUACCCUCCGGUUGCUGGCACUGAGUUGUACAUGAUGGAGUAAUUCUAUGAUUACAGGAUGAUUGAAGAGCGCUUUGUGGUUGAGCAAGCUCAUGAGAUGCAGUCAUUUGCUAGAGAACUUGAGCACUUCGGUUGUAUGCUACCGGACAAGUUUGUUGCCGGAGGUAUCAUCACUAACCUUCCUCCUUCGUGGAUCUCAUUGGCACUCUUGAUGUGGAAGAAAAGGCGAGAGCAAAGGACACACGUGCUCAAGGAAUUGAGGGAGGAUCUAGUGCCAAUCUGGUACAGAAGAAGAACUUCCAGCCCCACAAGUUCAAGAACAACGGCAAGUUUGAUGGGAAGAACAAGGCUGUGCAACACACGAACUUCAAGAAGAAGAAUGACAAGAAGAAAGGUGUUUGUCAUGUGGGGAUCCUGGUCAUUGGGCUCCUAGUUACCCUAAUCGCUAUGACAAGCUAGGCGGGUUGACCACUGACGGCCGGUUAGCUUCUUGGCGGCGACGUGGAGUUGGAGAGCUAUGUUGGAGAAGGACACUGCUUCUACUUAACUGCUGGUGCAGUUGGCUGACUGACACGUGGGCUCAACAGGCAUCUGGGCCACAUGUCAGUUACGCAACUGCACCUGCAGUUAAGUCACUGAAGCUUCUGUUCGGCUCAGCCGGACACAGGUGGGUAGCUUCGGUUAAUUAAUUAUACCUCUAGCGCAUCCCUUUUUAGUUGAAGAAUGUAUGAAAUGUAAUGAAAUCCGGCAUGUUUAUAUGAAAUCCGACCAUGUAUGAAUGAAUUUAUUUCGAUUAGUUCGAAUUCUUGUAUCACUGGCAUUGGAUGAACAUGCAAAACAAUACGUACUAGCAUUAUUCCCAGGGUGAUCACCUCGUUUGCAGCAGUUUCACAUGUACUCCCUCCGGUCCUUUCUAGUCUGCAUACAAGUUUUGUCUGCAGUCAAAGUAUCUCUACUUUGACCAAUCUUAUAGAAAAAAGUAUGCACUUUCACAAUGUGCAAAGCAAAAAGGAACAUAAGGAGCACAAAGAGUUUGAGCAACUUUUUAGCGUUCCUGUACAUUGCAAUCACAGCGAUUCACAUGUCAUAGAGAACAUUCAAAACAAUCGAUGAUUAUGCAUCUCAGCGAUUCCCAUGUCAGAGCCAAUAUUUACUUCACAACUAAAGAAUAAAGAAAAAAUGGAUCGACGCUGCUGACAGCAAAGGGCGUCCCAUUCGAAAAUAUCAAACGCAUGUCUUCUUGCUAAAAUCGAUGAGCAAAAUUUGACAAGGGUUUCCCAUUCCAAAAUAUCAAAUGCCUACGAUUGUGGAAUGGGCAGGGUUUGCCAUCAGUUCGGACAUUGACAUGGCACCUCGUGCUAAAUAAACCAGCUGUUCUUUUUGUGCAGUUCCACCAAAAUCAACCAAAUUCGCGUGUAGCUUGUAUGAUUUCGCCCUUAUAUGUUGCAAUGCCUUGAACUUAUCGGCACCUCCUUUCUUGUGGUGGAAAUGAAUGAUUCGAUGUAUUCAUGAACAUUUUGUGCAGUUCCCAUUGAAAUCAAGCUGAGCACCCCUGUUAUACAAAAAAAGUGAUUAGUAUAAAGCAAACUGUACUAUGAAUUGACAGUUUAAACAGGCACCUACAUGGUCCAUGUAGAGCACACUUUUACAAAAAUGGAACUCACUGGAAAGAAUCCUAGAACAACAUUGUACUCGCGCAUCACAGCAAGAAAAUGGAGAUUUGUCAGUCCUUCUGAGCUGAAGUUAGUUUGGUCUUGUGGGGGUAAUGUAACCAUCCUUCAACUGCUCCUUGUGAUGAGAAGAUAGACAGGGCUUCUUCAUCCUGGCAUAAUCGGAACUAGUCACCUCACGUACUCCAUAUUCUUCUUCAGAGGAGGAUGAUCCUGUUGUGCAAAGACAAGAGGAUAACUAAAUGCUAGCAUCCCUGUUUGCUCGAAAAAAGGAAAGGAAAUAUUUAAAAGAGCACAGAUGAAGCACUUCUCAAGGACAAUACCACUUUUUGAUGACAGUAUCUAAAUUGUAGCACAACACCAAUAGAGAUGACAAAGCUCAAUCAUAUGGAUGAAAUCAGUGAGCGAGUUCCAACCUUUGUCAGGAGGCUUAUUGUGUAGAGCAUACAGAUGAAGCACUUCUCCGGAACCAUCUGUUGCUAUCUACUUACUCCUCGAUUAGAUUAAUGUUUCCAACAUCUUCUUGUGCAGUUCCACUCAAAUAUAUGGUAUCUUCAAAGAAGAUCCCUGUUUGCACAAGUAGAGAUAAUUACGUAUUACAUUAAGAGUGGCAUCAAAUCAGUGGCAAAACAAUUGCUCGUUCCAGCCAUAGCAAUAAAUUAAGAUGCAAAACUAUAUCAUUACUUGUGUCAUCACAGUUCCAGUGCUUCAUUACAGCACCAGGAGUUGAUUUUUGUUUUUCUUCCGCUUGUUCUUCCCCUUCAUCACUUGGUUCAAUAGUAGACAAGCUUCGCCUUCAAUGUAAGAUUUGGCAUGUCAGUUAGGUUGCACAAGUAUAGCACUAAACAAUGACAUUAAUUUUCUGAUGAAAGUGGCAAAAUACAGGCCAACAGUUGUGAAAUACCCUUAUCUUACCUCAAUGGGAUAUUACGGUGCACAUACAGAUUGGAAGUCUUGUCUCCAUUUGUGCAGUUCACUAAAAUCAAGCAACAUUACCGUACAAGUAGCACAACAUAUGAAAGCACACUGCAGAAUCAUGUGAAAGAAGGCUAGUACUGACCUCUCAUGACGCAGAAUUCAAACAACUCACAAUAAGAAGAUCUGAACCAAAUUUGCCAACACGGAUAGGAAGUAAGAUCUCCUCUUGUGCAGUUCCACUAAGAUCAAGAAAAUCAAGCAACGUUGUCGGUGUGACAUUUUGGUUGAACUGCACAAAAUACUCUUAAAACAAAAGUGUUUUGAGCAGUGCAACAAAAGGUCACAAUGGCAACGAGGUGAAGUAGAUAACCUUGUUUACACAGAGGUGCAAAGGAAACAACUAGUGGUCAAUAACGGUGGAUGAUACAGAAGCCAACAAAAAGAAGCAUCUACCUUAUCUAAAUGGGAAAGAAAGCAAGACAGUAGCAUUUCUCAAACGGUGGCAUUGAUUUAUAUUAACAGAGAUAUUAUAUUAACAAUAAAAUUUGUUAAACAUGUAAUUUGCUUUUAACUGUGGCAUUGCAUCAAUUUUCCAGCGGCAUUAUUAGAGGGUGUUUGUUUACAGGGACAUUUAGGUGGAGGCACUAAAAAAACUCCGUGUCAGUCCCAUUUAAACCAAACAGGAGGGACUUUUAGGGACUAAAAGUGGGCAUUUGGGACUAAAGAAAGAAGACCCCGAGGGAGACUCUUUUUGGGACUUUUUCCAAUAGUUGCCCUUGCCACGCAUCGCACCUUGUCCCUAUUAGUUCACUACUAGGGGUAACAUGGUAUUUUAGCAUGUCAUUUAAUAACCUCUAGUCCAUGUUUAGUCCCUGGAACCAAGCAGGUAGGGACUAGGGAGUUUUUAACCAAACAGGGCCUUAGAUUAACAACAGCUAAAGAGUUGCACGGGACAGUGGACGCACCAGCACCAUGUGCAUCUACCGAUGUACUGGGGUGAUGCACAGUCUGUUGCAACAAAGAACAAACAACCAAGGAGCAUAUUUGUGUUGGUCCCAGUUUUGUUAUCUUUAGACACCUUUCCCUAUGUGAGGGCAGCAAAUCUAGUCCUGCUCAAACUCUACAGCCUUGUCCCCCAAAACGAAAGAUCGGUUCGUUACAGAUGUGCGUACUGCGUUUGUCAUUGUUUUCCCUUUUCGACCAACGUAGGUGCUGGAUAGCCAGUCUGUACUAUUACUUUCCCCACUUCCUUUCCUCUGUGAACCACGUCCUAGAUUUAUGCUAUACAACUUUCCCCACUACUUUCCCCCAUUCCUGUCCUCUUUGAACCACGUCUUAGAUUCAUGCGAUACAACUUUCCCCACUACUUUCCCCCUUCCUUUCCUUUUUGAACCAUGUCCUAGAUUCAUGCCAUACAACUUUUCCCACUACUUUCCCCCAUUCCUUUCCUCUUUGAACCAUGUCCUAGAUUCAUGGUAUACAACUUUCCCCACUACUUUCCUGUUUGAUCUAACAACUAGAUUCGAGUGCAGAAGCGGAAAAAGCCCACAUGCAGCUAGAGCAAUGCAUGUAGAAUAAGUAAAUUAUACCUUAAGGUUCUUGGGGUGUGGUUCGGUGGGCGACCGGAGGCCGUUCGACCCACACUAUGUACGGCGACGAAGAAGAAGGGGUCGGAGGCCCUCCCGUGCCGCCGCUGGGUGAAAGUGAACAGCUGCGUCGGUAGUGGAUUCUCUCCCUCGCCGACGGCGACAGCGUUAAGCCUCCUUCCCUUCCUGGUGGACGGAUCCUGCCGGCUCUUUGACCAGCAGUGAGGGGAGAGAGAGAGGCCAGCGAAGUCUUGUUUAGAUUUGGAGAGGGUGAGAGAGUGUGAAGAGAGCAACUACAAGCAGACCAGCAGUGAGGGGAGAGAGAGAGGCCAACAAAGUCUUGUUUAGAUCUGGAGAGGGUGAGAGAGUGUGAAGAGAGCAACUACAAGCAGACCAGCAGUGAGGGGAGAGAGAGAGAGAGGCCAACGAAGUCUUGUUUAGAUCUGGAGAUGGUGAGAGAGUGUGAAGAGAGCAACUACAAGCGCUGAGGCUCCAACGUGUAUAUAUAUACUGGAGAGAGUGUGAAGAGUGCAAACCCUAGAAAACAAGCGCCGAGGCUGCAGCUUAUACGUGAUGGGGUGAUUAUACGGUCACUAUGAGAUCGUAUAGCUCUGUAUCCAUCCAUUUUGACCAGUCAAAGAAUCCUCCUGGCACGAAUUAUGCUCAAGUGUAGUUAUCGAACCCGAGACCUCAAGUUUGAUGAGCGAACAGGCUAACCAGCUACACAACCCUCCUGUUAUGUUCAACGAGAGGAAAAUAACCUUUUAUACAUUCCUGCAUUCGUGUGACAAGCAUGCCGUGUUUUUUUGUGUGUGGGAGUCAUUGGGAUUUAAAUCAUAAUCGUGUCAUGUAGCUUUGGUGGUAAGACUAUCCACAGUGGUGCAGAAAUAAUGCAGCCUUAGUCACCUUACCUCUCUCCACGUAGUACGUUGGGUCCCACCAGUCAGAGGGUGAAACAAACAAAUUAAUAAGAAAAAUUAAAAGCGCCAGCGGUGUAUCUUACCUCACACAUCUCGCUACUGCUCGGGAACACUGUCCAAUUGAUCCCUCUGUUCGCUCACAUACUAUUUUAAGUGAAUCCUUAUUAUAACAUGCACACAAUUUUGGGCACUUGUAUUCGACCUAAGUCAGUGUGCCACUGUAUCUCGUACGACUCCCUCCGUCUAGGUGUAAUAAGUCACGUUAGAAGGUGCAGCGGGACCAAGGUGCAAGCAGAUUGGAGGAGAAGGAGAAACUUGACCGAUCAUUCCUCCAAUCAAAGCCCUGAUUUAUGUCUCUAAACGCAACAAUUAAUCCAAACAACUAAGAGAUGCCGUUUUAGUUACCAUGCAGGGCCACGUGUUAACUCGCAUGCAAGCCGACUUUGAUUUCUUGACUGAUCAACGCGUAGUUGCGCUCCAUGCAUUGGGUUUCCGGGGGAGAUAACAAGGCAGAGUAAUUAAGGAGCGUUUGGUUACAUUGCUUAGGCUGGUCAUAGUGGUGAGUAACUUGGACUAGUACAACAUGCAUAUGUUAAUAGUCUAUGUUACUACUACGUGAAGUUUGCCGUCGGAAGCGAGCCGAUCGGGCUCUCCUGAGCUAGCAAGGUUUUUCUAGCCCACCCAAGCUAGCUGGCACACAAAAGCUAACAUAUUUUAACAGUUCCAAACGCCUAACCUUGCCCGGCUAUGCUAUAAGUUGUUCUUGCUAAGGAUCCAAACGCUCCCUAAGUAACAACGCUCGCUAGCAACGAGCCCAGGAGGGGAUUGAGAUGCGAAGUUAAUGGACGAUGCCUAAACAUUUUGGGAAUAUCUGAUUUCCGUAGGAUGACUUAACACCUAGACGGAGGGAGUACUACUCCUUAGUCCAGGUUUGAUGGAAUAUUCGUCACCUCUUCUCUUCUUGUACGUACUCCAUUUGUAUCUCACUUCCUGUGGCUUCGCACUCGCAUGAUUUUCCUAUUCUAUGAACCUGUGUGUGUGUGUGCGUGUGCGUGUGCGUGUGCGCGUGUGUGUUAAACAACAUGUGUGUGUUAGAGGGAGCGACAGAUCGACCUACUCCUACAGAGAGAUGGUGUGUAGUGUACGAUUUUAGCCGCGAGAGUCGGUGCAUCCUCUCGUUUUCGGGCGUCCGGUAGGGACAUGCGGACAGCUGCCACGCCCGCUCCUGACCAGCCUGGCCCACCCAAAGCCCCUCCAUCGCCCGCGCACGCUUCCCGCCCAAAACGGUCAGCGCCGCUCCAAAGAAUCGGUGCCGCAUUCAUGCCCGGGCAGAGCGGACGCGACCUCUCACUGGCGCCUGCGUUGAAGGGAGAAGCGGAUUCAAGAGUGAUGGUUGCUUCGUCCGUCCAACUUACUGCUGGGUCUAUGUGAUUUGACGGCUCAUUGGUCAUUAUUACUGAGGUGGUAGGAUUGCUGGAUGUCCCACGCUUUUGGCGAAAGGAGGUACUACUAGAUUACAAUUUUCUCCAUUCUUACGACGGAGGAGUGCAAGAGCAGUGAAAACACGCAGGCUCAGUGAUUACAUGGCCCACCUCACACUAUCACCAUAUUUUCUGGACACCGUGCGACACCUAAAUAUAAGUCUUUGUAGAGAUUCCACUAGGUGGACUACAUACGGAACAAAAUGAAUGAAUCUACACUUAAAAUGCAUCUAUAUACAUCCGUAUGUGGUUCAUGGUCAAAUCUCUACAAAGACUUAUAUUUAGGAACGGAGGAAGUACUUGUACAGUACGUACUGUAAUUUAUCAGCGAGAUAGUACAACGCUAUGAAGCUUCCAGCUUCUGUUACAUGUAUCUUGCGUCCAAGGUUGCCCGUUGCAACAUUUCAUCAAAUACAAAGGAGACUAACAUGCAUGCUAUUGCAUCUCAAUGAUUGAUAGAUCAUAGCAAAUAUGUACUCCCUCCGUUCCAAAAUAAGUGUCUCAACUUUAUGCUACAUACGGAGCAAAAUGAGUGAAUCUACACUCUAAAAUACGUCUAUAUACAUCAGUGUUUGGAGUAUGUACUAGUAGUUCAUAUUGAAAUCUACUAAAGGACAUAUAUUCCAAACAAUAUGAUAAUCUCUCUAACCAAGGUAGUAGGGACGAGGAGUAAACGGAGGGAGUAGUAAAAUUUUCUCCUCGUCCUGCGAGCCACCGCACGCGUGGGCGAGGGAGCGGGCGUAAGGCGUACAGUACUACUACUACUCAUGCAGUCCCUAGCCAUUGAAACAGAGACAGCUGAAGAAAAAAAUGAUCCAUGCAGUCCCUAACCCUUGAACCGUAAACCCUAACCAGGCUUUAAUUUGCUGGCAACGUCGGCGCUUCCUAAGAAAUGAAGUUUGCAACCCUUCGACCAUCGGAUCAUUUUGUGCAGUUUCACCAAAAUCGAGAUGAGCAUCCCUGUGGCAAAGAAAUUGAAGAAGCGUGAUUAGAAUAAGAUUACUGGGACUAGUUGAUGAGACAUAAACUCAUCACAAAUACAGUACGUAGAAGCCAGUAGAGGUAUGUGCGGGGCAAAGAAGUAGAGAAAUAACCACAUGGAGUGAUGUGGGCAGCUGGAGCAGUGGUGCAAGCCGGCUGUAAAGGGAGUUGUACCUUAGGGAUGUCAGGACGUAGCUCAACCUAGAGGAGGGCGGCGGGAGGAGGCAACUACCCACGUCGCGGCAGUGAGCAAUGGACGAAGGCAACCUCACCGACUUUGUGAGAGAGAAUGGCGGGGACCCCUGAUCGGGACGUGCCGAUAGUGGGUUUUCACCGUCGGCAACGGCGACCGCAUCUACACUAAGCAUCCACCCCUUCCCCCGGCGGACGUGAUCCGCCGGGAUGUUAGAGAUGUGGCCACAGUGGUUUUGUGCGAGAGAGUGUGAAAACUGAAGAGAGCAACCCCAGCAAGCAACCGUGUAGGCUCGUCCUACCUAUGUAUAUAGUGGAGCGGUUUCCUUUUCUCUCCAUACGAACCUAUUUAUAUUGCGUACGUGCCACUGAAGAAAAAAAACUUUAUUUAUAAAUGACGCGGCACCUACUACUCGUUCUCCUAUAAACCUUGCGCUUGGCAUCUCCAAACUAUUAACCUUGCGAUUGGCUCUUCGCCUCUUCGGGAAGUCGAGCAAUAAUGGCAUUGCAGUAUAUAUCGUUCUGGCUAUAUGAGACCGAAUGAAUUGUUGCAAGUCCACCACGUGGCGAGGGUCGAGGGGCGAGGGAGAGUGCGUACUAUUAUGUCCGUUUCAAUAUGGACUACAUACGGAGCAAAAUGAGUGAAUCUACACUCUAGAAUACGUCUAUAUACAUCAGUGUUUGGAGUAUGUACUAGUAGUUCAUAUUGAAAUCUACAAUAUGAUAAUCUCUCUAACCAAGGUAGGGACGAGGAGUAAAUGGAGGGAGUAUUAGUAAAAUUUUCUCCUCGUCCUGCGAGCCACCGCGCGUGGGCGAGGGAGCGGGUGUAAGGCGUAGUAAGCAAGCUUCACCUCAUCCUGCGAGCCACUGCGCCGUGGGCGGGGGAGACGGCGUACUAAGCAAGCUUCUCCUCGUUCUGCGAGUUGAUGGGACACAUCAAAAGUACUCCAGUGUAUAGAGCCUUGCCUCUAAGGUAGGCCCCACAUGGUUUGCCUAUUUUUUAACAUAACGCGUCAAGUCGCAAUUUGUUUGUUCACCCGUGGUAGACGAUCCUCCCUCCAUCUAGUGGACAACCAGUACACGUGUCAAGUUACCACGUGGGCUGCCUUUUCGUACAGAAAUGAGCUCCACCGUGUACCCGCGCGGGUGUGGUUGGGAAAGACACGGGAGUACGUGCGCCGUGCGUGCACCUCUUCUCUUCGCGCACGUCCCCCACCUACGUGGGUGUGUGUGAGAGAUACAAACCUAGACAAAUGGCUUGUGCAUUCAUGUUUUGGGGGGGAGGUUGAUUUCGUGAAUGUAUUUGUGGGAAUAUGUGUCGAUGACAUCUCAAACAAAAUUUUGCAUGAAAUGUGUGUGAAAUGGAGGCCUAUCCAUAUCAUAUAUAUGUUGGGAAUCGUAGCAUAAUUUUAAAAUUUUCCUACGCUCACCAAGAUGCAUCUAUGGAGUCUACUAGCAACGAGGGGAAAGGAGUGCAUCUACAUACCCUUGUAGAUCGCGAGCGGAAGCGUUCCAAUGAACGUGGAUGACGGAGUCGUACUCGCCGUGAUCCAAAUCACCGAUGACCGAGUGCCGAACGGACGGCACCUCUGCGUUCAACACACGUACGGUGCAGCGACGUCUCCUCCUUCUUGAUCCAGCAAGGGGGAAGGAGAGGUUGAUGGAGAUCCAGCAGCACGACGGUGUGGUGGUGGAUGUAGCGGGUCUCCGGCAGGGCUUCGCCAAGCUUCUGCGAGAGAGAGAGAGAGGUGUUGCAGGGGAGGAGGGAGGCGCCCAAGGCUGUAGUUUGCUACCCUCCCUCCCCCCCACUAUUUAUAGGACCCCUGGGGGGGCGCCAGCCCUUGGGAGAUCAGAUCUCCAAGUGGGGCGGCGGCCAAGUGGGGGGGAAGGGGUGCCUUGCCCCCCAAGGCAAGGGGGAAGCUCCCCCCUAGGGUUCCCAACCCUAGGCGCAUGGGGGGAGGCCCAAGGGGGGCGCCCCAGCCCACUAAGGGCUGGUUCCCUUCCACUUUCAGCCCACGGGGCCCUCCGGGAUAGGUGGCCCCACCCGGUGGACCCCCGGGACCCUUCCGGUGGUCCCGGUACAAUACCGGUAACCCCCGAAACUUUCCCGGUGGCCGAAACUUGACUUCCUAUAUAUAAUUCUUCACCUCCGGACCAUUCCGGAACCUCUCGUGACGUCCGGGAUCUCAUCCGGGACUCCGAACAACUUUCGGGUUUCCGCAUACAUAUAUCUCUACAACCCUAGCGUCACCUGACCUUAAGUGUGUAGACCCUACGGGUUCGGGAGACAUGCAGACAUGACCGAGACGCCUCUCCGGUCAAUAACCAACAGCGGGAUCUGGAUACCCAUGUUGGCUCCCACAUGUUCCACGAUGAUCUCAUCGGAUGAACCACGAUGUCGAGGAUUCAGUCAAUCCCGUAUGCAAUUCCCUUUGUCAAACGGUAUGUUACUUGCCCGAGAUUCGAUCGUCGGUAUCCCAAUACCUUGUUCAAUCGCGUUACCGGAAAGUCUCUUUACUCGUACCGCAAUGCAUGAUCCCGUUACUAACGCCUUAGUCACAUUGAGCUCAUUAUGAUGAUGCAUUACCGAGUGGGCCCAGAGAUACCUCUCCGUCACACGGAGUGACAAAUCCCAGUCUCGAUCCGUGCCAACCCAACAGACACUUUCGGAGAUACCCGUAGUGCACCUUUAUAGUCACCCAGUUACGUUGUGACGUUUGGCACACCCAAAGCACUCCUACGGUAUCCGGGAGUUGCACGAUCUCAUGGUCUAAGGAAAAGAUACUUGACAUUGGAAAAGCUCUAGCAAACGAAACUACACGAUCUUUUAUGCUAUGCUUAGGAUUGGGUCUUGUCCAUCACAUCAUUCUCCUAAUGAUGUGAUCCCGUUAUCAAUGACAUCCAAUGUCCAUAGUCAGGAAACCAUGACUAUCUGUUGAUCAACGAGCUAGUCAACUAGAGGCUUACUAGGGACAGGUUGUGGUCUAUGUAUUCACACAUGUAUUACGAUUUUCGGACAAUACAAUUAUAGCAUGAAUAAUAGACAAUUACCAUGAACAAAGAAAUAUAAUAAUAACCAUUUAUUAUUGCCUCUAGGGCAUAUUUCCAACAGUCUCCCACUUGCACUAGAGUCAAUAAUCUAGUUCACAUCACCAUGUGAUUAACACUCACUGGUCACAUCACCAUGUGACCAACAUCUAAAGAGUUUACUAGAGUCAACAAUCUAGUUCACAUCACUAUGUGAUUAAUACUCAAUGUGUUCUGGUUUGAUCAUGUUAUGCUUGUGAGAGAGGUUAUUAGUCAACGGGUCUGAACCUUUCAGAACUGUGUGCUUUACGAAUAUCUAUGUCAUCUUGUGGAUGCUACCAGGCGCUAUUUGGAGCCAUUUCAAAUAAUUGCUCUACUAUACGAAUCCGGUUUACUACUCAGAGUCAUCCGGAUUAGUGUCAAAGUUCGCAUCGACGUAACCCUUUACGAUGAACUCCUUUCCACCUCCAUAAUCGAGAAAAUUCCUUAAUCCACCAGGUACUAAGGAUAAGUUCGACCGCUGUCAUGAGAUCCUUUCCCGGAUCACCACUGUACCCUCUUGACCAACUCAUGGCAAGGCACACUACAUGUGCGGUACACAGCAUAGCAUACUAUAGAGCCUACGUCUAAAGCAUAGGGGACGACGUUCGUCCUUUCUCUAUCUUCUGCUGUGGUCAGGUCUUGAGUCUUACUCAAUACUCACACCUUGUAACACAGCCAAGAACUCCUUCUUUGCUGAUCUAUUUUGAACUCUUUCAAAAUCAUGUCAAGGUGUGCUGUCUUUUGAAAUUAUCAUCAGGCGUCUUGAUCUAUCUCUAUGGAUCUUGAUGCCCAAUAUGUAAGCAGCUUUAUCCAGGUCUUCCUUUGAAAAAAUCCUUUCAAACAACCCUUUAUGCUUUCCAGAAAUUUUACAUCAUUUCAGAUCAACAAUAUGUCAUUCACAUAUACUUAUCAGAAAUGUUGUAGCGCUCCCACUCACUUUAUUGUAAAUACAAGUUUCUAACAAACUUUGUAUAAACCCAAAAACUUUGAUCACUCCAUCAAAGCGUAUAUUCUGACUCCGAGAUGCUUGCUCUAAUCCAUGGAAGGAUCGCUGGAGCUAGCAUACCUUUUAGCAUCCUUAGGAUCGACAAAACCUUUCUGAUUGUAUCACAUACAACCUUUCCUUACGAAAACUGGUAAGGAAACUUGUUUUGACAUCCAUCUGCCAGAUUUCAUAAAUGCAGCUAAUGCUAACAUGAUUCCGACAGACUUAAGCAUUGCUACGGAUGAGAAAAUCUCAUCGUAGUCAACUCUUUGAACUUGUGGAAAUACUCUUUGCCACAAGUCGAGCUUCAUAGACGGUAACAUUACCGUCCAUGUCCGUCUUCUUCUUAAAGAUCCAUUUAUCUCAAUGGCUUGCCGAUCAUCGGGCAAGUUCACCAAAGUCCAUGCUUUGUUCUGAUACAUGGAUUCUAUCUCGGAUUUCAUGGCCUCGAGCCAUUCGUCAGAAUAUGGGCCCACCAUCGCUUCUCCAUAGCUCGUAGGUUCAUAGUUGUCUAGCAACAUGACUUCCAAGACAGGAUCACGCAUUACUCUGAAGUAGUGCGCAUCCUCGUCGUCCUACGAGGUUUGGUAGUGACUUGAUCCGAAGUUUCAUGAUCACCAUCAUAAGCUUCCAAUUCAAUUGGUGUAGGUGCCACAGGAACAACUUCCUGUGCCCUGCUACACACUAGUUGAAGUGACGGUUCAAUAACCUUAUCAAGUCUCCACCAUCCUCCCACUCAAUUCUUUCGAGAGAAACUUUUCCUCGAGAAAGGACUCGUUUCUAGAAGCAAUUACUUUUGCUUCCAGAUCUGAAAUAGGAGGUAUACCCAACUGUUUUUGGGUAUUCUAUGAAGAUGCAUUUAUCCGCUUUGGGUUCGAGCUUAUCAGCCAUAAGCAUCGCAGCCCCAAACUUUUAAGAAACGACAACUUAGGUUUCUAUAAACGGUGUCGUCUCAACGGAAUUGCGUGGUGCCCCCUUUAAAGUGAAUGCGGUUGUCUCUAAUGCCUAACCCAUAAACGAUAGUGGUAAUUUGAUAAGAAACAUCAUGGUAUGCACCAUAUCCAAUAGGGUGCAGUUAUGAUGUUCGGACACACCAUCACACUAUGGUGUUCCAGGCGGUAUUAAUUGUGAAACACUUUCCACAAUGUCUCAAUUGUGUGCCAAACUCGUAUCUCAGAUACUCAUCUCUAUGAUCAUAUCACAGACAUUUUAUCCUCUUGUCACGACGAUCUUCAACUUCACUCUGAAAUUACUUGAACCUUUCAAUAAUUCAGACUAGUGUUUCAUCAAGUAAAUACACUCAGCAUCUACUCAAAUCAUCUGUGAAGUAAGAACAUAACGAUAUCCACUGCAUGCCUCAGCACUCAUUGGAUUGCGUACAUCAAAAUGUAUUACUUCCAAUAAGUUGCUCUCUUGUUCCAUCUCACUGAAAACGAGGACUUUCAGUCAUUUUGCCCAUGUGGUAUGAUUUGCAUGUCUCAAGUGAUUCAUAAUCAAGUGAGUCCAAACGAUCCAUCUGUAUGGAGUUUCUUCAUGCAUAUAUACCAAUAGACGUGGUUCGCAUGUCUCAAUCUUUUCAAAAAUGAGUGAGUCCAAAGAUCCACCUACAUGGAGCUUCUUCAUGCGUUCUACACCAAUAUGACUCAAGUGGCAGUGCCACAAGUAUGUGGUACUAUCAUUACUAUCUUAUAUCUUUUUGGCAUGAACAUGUGUAUCACUACGAUCGAGAUUCAUUUUAGGUGCAAGACCAUUGAAGGUAUUAUUCAAAUAAACAGAGUAACAUUAUUCUCCUUAAAUGAAUAACCGUUUUGCGGUAAACAUAAUCCAAUCAUGUUCAACGCAAACACCAAAUCUCGAUGGUAGAGGGAGCAUGCGAUGCUUGGUCACAUCAACCUUGGAAACACUUCCAACACAUAUCGUCAUCUCACCUUUAGCUAGUCUCCAUUUAUUCCGUAGCUUUUAUUUCGAGUUACUAACACUUAGCAACCGAACCAGUAUCUAAUACCCUGGUGCUGCUAGGAGUACUAGUAAAGUACACAUUCAUGUAACGUAUAUCCAAUAUACUUCUGUCGACCUUGCCUGCCUUCUCAUCUACCAAGUAUCUAGGGUAGUACUGCUUCAGUGACCGUUCCUCUCAUUACAGAAGCACUUAGUCUCGGGUUUGGGUUCAACCUUGGGAUUCUUCACUAGAGCAGCAAACGACUUGCUGUUUCAUGAAGUAUCCCUUUUGCCCUUGCCCUUCUUAAACUAGUGGUUUUACUAACCAUCAACAAUUGAUGCUCCUUCUUGAUUUCUACUCUCGCGGUGUCAAACAUCGCGAAUAGCUCAAGGAUCAUCAUAAUUAUCCUUGAUAUGUUAUAGUUCAUCACGAAGCUCUACUAGCUUGGUGGCAGUGACUAUGGAGAACUAUCACUAUCUCAUCUGGGAGAUUAACUCCCACUCGAUUCAAGCGAUUGUGGCACUCAGACAAUCUGAGCACACGCUCAACGAUUGAGCUUUUCUCCCUUAGUUUGUAGGCUUAAGAAACUUGUCAGAGGUCUCAUACCUCUUGACGUGGGCACUAGUCUGAAAUCCCAAUUUCAGUCUUCGGAACAUCUCACAUGUUCUGCGACGUUUCAAAAACGUCUUUGGUGCCACAAUUCUAAACCGCACUGAACUAUCACGUAGUCAUCAAAACGUGUAUGUCAGAUGUUUUGUAACAUCUACAGACGACGCUGAGGUUCAGCACACUGAGCGGUGCAUUAAGGACAUAAGCCUUCUGUGCAGCAAUGAGGACAAUCCUCAGUUUACGGACCCAAUCCGCAUAAUUGCUACUACCAACUUUCAACUAAAUUUUCUCUAGGAACAUAUCUUAACCAGUAGAACUAAAGCGCAAGCUAUGACAUAAUUUGCAAAUACCUAUUUGACUAUGUUCAUGAUAAUGAAGUUCAUCUGAUUAUGAACUCCCACUCAGAUAGACAUCCCUCUAGUCAUCUAAGUGAAACAUGAUCCGAGUUUAACUAGGCCGUGUCCGAUCAUCACGUGAGACGGACUAGUCAAGAUCGGUGAACAUCUCCAUGUUGAUCGUAUCUUCUAUACGACUCAUGCUCGACCUUUCGGUCCUCCGUGUUCCGAGGCCAUGUCUGUACAUGCUAGGCUCGUCAAGUCAACCUAAGUGUAUUGCGUGUGUUCCGAGGCCAUGUCUGUACAUGCUAGGCUCGUCAACACCCGUUGUAUUCGAACGUUAGAAUCUGUCACACCCGAUCAUCACGUGGUGCUUCGAAACAACGAACCUUCGCAACGGUGCACAGUUAGGGUGAACACUUUCUUGAAAUUAUUAUAAGGGAUCAUCUUACUUACUACCGUCGUUCUAAGCAAAUAAGAUGCAAAAACAUGAUAAACAUCACAUGCAAUCAAAUAGUGACAUGAUAUGGCCAAUAUCAUCAUGCUCCUUUGAUCUCCAUCUUCGGGGCACCAUGAUCAUCUUCGUCACCGGCAUGACACCAUGAUCUCCAUCAUCAUGAUCUCCAUCAUUGUGUCUUCAUGAAGUCGUCACGCCAACGAUUACUUCUACUUCUAUGGCUAACGCGUUUAGCAACAAAGUAAAGUAAUUUACAUGGCGCUAUUCAAUGACACGCAGGUCAUGCAAAAUAAUAAAGACAACUCCUAUGGCUCCUGCCGGUUGUCAUACUCAUCGACAUGCAAGUCGUGAUUCCUAUUACAAGAAUAUGAUCAAUCUCAUACAUCACAUAUAUCAUUCAUCACAUCUUCUGGCCAUAUCACAUCACAUAGCACAUGCUGCAAAAACAAGUUAGACGUCCUCUAAUUGUUGUUGCAAGUUUUUACGUGGUUUGUAGGUUUCUAGCAAGAACGUUUUCUUACCUACGUAUGACCACAACGUGAUUUGCCAAUUUCUAUUUACCCUUCAUAAGGACCCUUUUCAUCGAAUCCGUUCCGACUAAAGUAGGAGAGACAGACACCCGCUAGCCACCUUAUGCAUCUAGUGCAUGUCAGUCGGUGGAACCUGUCUCACGUAAGUGUACGUGUAAGGUCGGUCCGGGCCGCUUCAUCCUACAAUGCCGCCGAAACAAGAAAAGACUAGUAGCGGCAAGAAGAAUUGGCAAACUCAACGCCCACAACUGCUUUGUGUUCUACUCGUGCAUAGUAACUACGCAUAGGCCUGGCUCAUGAUGCCACUGUUGGGAAUCGUAGCAUAAUUUUAAAAUUUUCCUACGCUCACCAAGAUGCAUCUAUGGAGUCUACUAGCAACGAGGGGAAAGGAGUGCAUCUACAUACCCUUGUAGAUCGCGAGCGGAAGCGUUCCAAUGAACGUGGAUGACGGAGUCGUACUCGCCGUGAUCCAAAUCACCGAUGACCGAGUGCCGAAUGGACGGCACCUCCGCGUUCAACACACGUACGGUGCAGCGAUGUCUCCUCCUUCUUGAUCCAGCAAGGGGGAAGGAGAGGUUGAUGGAGAUCCAGCAGCACGAUGGUGUGGUGGUGGAUGUAGCGGGUCUCCGGCAGGGCUUCGCCAAGCUUCUGCGAGAGAGAGAGAGGUGUUGCAGGGGAGGAGGGAGGCGCCCAAUGCUGUAGUUUUCUGCCCUCCCUCCCCCCACUAUUUAUAGGACCCCUGGGGGGGCGCCAGCCCUUGGGAGAUCAGAUCUCCAAGGGGGGCGGCGGCCAAGUGGGGGGGAAGGGGUGCCUUGCCCCCCAAGGCAAGGGGGAAGCUCCCCCCUAGGGUUCCCAACCCUAGGCGCAUGGGGGGAGGCCCAAGGGGGGCACCCCAGCCCACUAAGGGCUGGUUGCCUUCCACUUUCAGCCCACGGGGACCUCCGGGAUAGGUGGCCCCACCCGGUGGACCCCCGGGACCCUUCCGGUGGUCCCGGUAACCCCCGAAACUUUCCCGGUGGCCGAAACUUGACUUCCUAUAUAUAAUUCUUCACCUCCGGACCAUUCCGGAACCUCUCGUGACGUCCGGGAUCUCACCGGGACUCCGAACAACUUUCGGGUUUCCGCAUACAUAUAUCUCUACAACCCUAGCGUCACCUGACCUUAAGUGUGUAGACCCUACGGGUUCGGGAGACAUGCAGACAUGACCGAGACGCCUCUCCGGUCAAUAACCAACAGCGGGAUCUGGAUACCCAUGUUGGCUCCCACAUGUUCCACGAUGAUCUCAUCGGAUGAACCACGAUGUCGAGGAUUCAGUCAAUCCCGUAUGCAAUUCCCUUUGUCAAACGGUAUGUUACUUGCCCGAGAUUCGAUCGUCGGUAUCCCAAUACCUUGUUCAAUCUCGUUACCGGCAAGUCUCUUUACUCGUACCGCAAUGCAUGAUCCCGUUACUAACGCCUUAGUCACAUUGAGCUCAUUAUGAUGAUGCAUUACCGAGUGGGCCCAGAGAUACCUCUCCGUCACACGGAGUGACAAAUCCCAGUCUCGAUCCGUGCCAACCCAACAGACACUUUCGGAGAUACCCGUAGUGCACCUUUAUAGUCACCCAGUUACGUUGUGACGUUUGGCACACCCAAAGCACUCCUACGGUAUCCGGGAGUUGCACGAUCUCAUGGUCUAAGGAAAAGAUACUUGACAUUGGAAAAGCUCUAGCAAACGAAACUACACGAUCUUUUAUGCUAUGCUUAGGAUUGGGUCUUGUCCAUCACAUCAUUCUCCUAAUGAUGUGAUCCCGUUAUCAAUGACAUCCAAUGUCCAUAGUCAGGAAACCAUGACUAUCUGUGGAUCAACGAGCUAGUCAACUAGAGGCUUACUAGGGACAGGUUGUGGUCUAUGUAUUCACACAUGUAUUACGAUUUCCGGACAAUACAAUUAUAGCAUGAAUAAUAGACAAUUACCAUGAACAAAGAAAUAUAAUAAUAACCAUUUAUUAUUGCCUCUAGGGCAUAUUUCCAACAAUAUAGAGGGUCGGGCGAUCCACGAGAAGAGAGGGAGGGGUCAUAGAUAUUGAUAGAGUCGAAGAGAGGAUCAAGUGGGUGGGUGCGAGAUCGAUGAAGAGAGCCAUCGAAAUUGUGUGUGUGUGCUAGUCAAAGAUAUAGGGCGACCGACCUAGCUACCGGAACGUCAGAGGGCACAGGUCAAGUUUGUGUGUGGCAGGAGACAUGACUAGAGCGCUCGAUGUAGCGGUGUGUGUGUGUGUGUGCGAGGGGGUGGGGGGAGGGGUAGGCAAAGGCCUAACUAUAGAGGUAGAACGACUCGUAUAUGUGUUAAGGAGAGACCCAGCUAUGUCUUGAGGGAGAUCGGUCGACAUCCAUACAUAACUGAAGGACGGGAAAUAAGAUGGGACAGAGAGAGAUGAGAGAGAGAGGGAGGGAGAGGGGUAGAGUGUUGGAUGGGUGAUGGAGUUGCUUCUCGAAGAUGGUGGGAGAGGCCUACUAGACAAACUGAGGAUGGAACUGCAAUAUUAUCAAUAAGAGUGGGGAUGUGUUUCUGUGUGUGCCUGUGCGUGAUAGAUCUGUCGGGACACAUCCAUGGAUGACGAAGGGGAACCAUGUGUUUGGUAAGCAAAACUAACUAGAUCGGUAGAUCAAUUGUUGUUUGUCGGAGGAAGGGAGAGACAUAACUAAUGAGGUAGAUCGAUCGACGCGUGGGGAAAAACGAGUUAUAAGGACCUAGCUAGCUAUAUGUAUAGCGGGAGAUCGGUCGGUGUACGUCCAUUUGUUAGAGGCAAAUAAGGCCCGGCGAGACGGAUAGACAGAGAGAAUGGAGCUAGGAGGUGGUGCGAGAGGCCCAGCUACUAGCUAGAUAGGGGGAGGAGUGUGCGGUUGUGAGAUCGAUGAAAAGAGGGGCGAGAGUUUACACGUGUGUGGGACCGUAUGAGAGACACGAGGCAAGGACACAUAAAGGAGGAUAUUGAAGGUGCGUGUGUAUGUUGUAGGCAGACAUCGCUGGAGAGGUUUAUCGAUCGGUGUGUGUCGGAAGGGAGUUGUGGAGACUGUGGGAGAACGACCUAAAGAAAAAAAUGAAUGUGCGCGAUGGAUAGAAUGCUGAGGGAGGGGGAGGGCGAGGAGGGCGUGUGCAUGCACGAGAGGAAGUUAGUGGUAGCUACAAAGGUUAGAGGAUUGUGUGGGUGUAAGAGACUAACAAAGAUCAUAAUUUGAUAUGAAAGUGGAUUCAUAUAUUUGAAUAGGAGAUCAUAGUGUUUUAAACAUAUGCAUGCAUGAAUAUAGCGGUGAUACACAUGUUGUGGUUUUGCACAUGUUAUACCAUAAUGUGAUAAUGCAUGGCGUUUGCAACUCACAGCUAAAUGUCGAACAAUCUAAACCAUACUAUACAUCGAACAAUCUCACAUUUUAUUUGAAUUUGUGAUAAUGUGUGGCGUUUGCAGCUUACAACUAAAUAUCGAACAAUCCAAACAAUACUAUAUAUCGAACAUUCUCACAUUUUAUUUGAAUUUGUGGUAAUGUGUGGUGUUUGCAACUCACAUCUAAAUACUUGUAGGCGUAGGGGACGGGGCACCAUAGAUAAUGUGAUAAACACAUUAUACAUAUGAGACAUGGUUUAGUUUGUGAAGAUCUAGCUAGAGCUUGAAAUGUACUAUGGUUUGAAAUCAACAUAAAGUGGAUUCAAAAAAUUGAGUUCGAGUUCAUAUAGUACACAUAGUUCAUAUGUAACUCGAGACUAAUCAUGUGGUGUGCUGUGAAGAUAAUACACAAACGAUGGUUUAACUUGACAAUAAUGACGAUUAUAGAUCUUAUUAAAACAAAGAAACGAAUUCAAACUCUUUGACUUCACAAUAAUCAUUAUUGUAGAUCUUAUUCAAAUAGAGAAACGAAUUCAAAUUUAGUUCAUAUUGAAGCGGUAGUAUAUACGUUUGGACUGCACUAAAAUGUUCGUUUGUGUCGGGAUUUCACAGGAGGAGGCAACCCAAUUUUAUUUUUGUUCCUUGCUUUUUGUUCUUGUUUAGUAAUAAAUAAUUCAUAUAGCCUAUGGUUAGAUGUGGUUUUAUGUUUUAAGUAGUGUUUGUGCCAAGUAAAACCUAUAGGAUCUUCUUGGAUGAUAGUUAUUUGAUCUUGCUGAAAAAGUCAGAAACUUUCUGAUCACGAAAACAAUUGUUAAAAAUCACCAGAACGUGAUAAAAUACUUAUUCCAAUUGCAGUAGAUCAAUAAACAGAUUAUUUAGGUCGUCCUAUUUUCGUAGAAUUUUUGAGUUAUAGAAAGUUUGCGUUUGAUACAGAUUACUACAGACUAUUCUGUUUUUGACAGAUUCUGUUUUUCGUGUGUUGUUUGCUUAUUUUGAUAAAUCUAUGGCUAGUAUCGGGGGGUAUGAACCAUAGAGAAGUUGUAAUACAGUAGAUUUAACACCAAUAUAAAUAAAGAAUGAGUUCAUUACAGUAACUUGAAGUGGUGGUUUGUUUUCUUUCGCUAACGGAGCUCAUGAGAUUUUCUGUUGAGUUUUGUGUUGUGAAGUUUUCAAGUUUUGGGUAAAGAUUUGAUGGAUUAUGGAAUAAGGAGUGGCAAGAGCCUAAGCUUGGGGAUGCCCAAGGCACCCCAAGGUAAAAUUCAAGGACAACCAAAAGCCUAAGCUUGGGGAUGCCCCGGAAGGCAUCCCCUCUUUCGUCUUCGUCCAUCGGUAACUUUACUUGAUGCUAUAUUUUUAUUCACCACAUGAUAUGUGUUUUAAUUGGAGCGUCUUGUAUGAUUUGAGUCUUUGCUUUUUAUUUUACCACAAUCAUCCUUGCUGUACACUCCUUUUUGGAGAGACACACAUGAAUCGAAAUUUAAUAGAAUACUCUAUGUGCUUCACUUAUAUCUUUUAGAGCACGGUGGUGGUUUUAUUUUAUAGAAAUUAUUGAUCUCUCUUGCUUCACUUAUAUUAUUUUGAGAGUCCUUUAGAACAGCAUGGUAAUUUGCUUUGGCUAUAAAAUUAGUCCUAAUAUGAUAGGCAUCCAAGAUUGGUAUAAUAAAAACUUUCAUAAAAAGUGCAUUGAAUACUAUGAGAAGUUUGAUACUUGAUGAUUGUUUUGAGAUAUGAAGAUGGUAAUAUUAGAGUCGUGCUAGUUGUGUAGUUGUGAAUUUGAGAAAUACUUGUGUUGAAGUUUGCAAGUCCCGUAGCAUGCACGUAUGGUGACCGUUGUGUAACAAAUUUGAAACAUGAGGUGUUCUUUGAUUGUCAUCCUUAUGAGUGGCGGUCGGGGACGAGCGAUGGUCUUUUCCUACCAAUCUAUCCCCCCUAGGAGCAUGCGCGUAAUGCUUGGUUUUUGAUGACUUGUAGAUUUUUGCAAUAAGUAUGUGAGUUCUUUAUGACUAAUGUUGAGUCCAUGGAUUAUACGCACUAUCACCUUUCCAUCAUUGCUAGCCUCUUCGGUACCGUGCAUUGCCCUUUCUCACCUUGAGAGUUGGUGCAAACUUUGCCGGUGCAUCCAAACCCUGUGAUAUGAUAUGCUCUAUCACACAUAAACCUCCUUAUAUCUUCCUCAAAACAGCCACCAUACCUACCUAUUAUGGCAUUUCCAUAGCCAUUCCGAGAUACAUUGCCAUGCAACUUUCCACCGUUUCAUUUAUUAUGACACACUUCAUCAUUGUCAUAUUGCCUUGCAUGAUCAUGUAGUUGACAUCGUAUUUGGGGCAAAGCCACCAUGCAUAAUUUAUCAUACAUGUCACUCUUGAUUCAUUGCCCAUCCCGGUACACCGCCGGAGGCAUUCAUAUAGAGUCAUAUUUUGUUCUAGUAUCGAGUUAUAAUCAUUGAGUUGUAAAUAAAUAGAAGUGUGAUGAUCAUCAUUAAUAGAGCAUUGUCCCAAAAAAAGGAAGAAGAAAGGCCAAAUAAAAAAAAGAGAAAGGACCAAAAAAAGAGAAAAGAAAUAAAAAAAGGACAAUGCUACUAUCCUUUUUUCCACACUUGUGCUUCAAAGUAGCACCAUGAUCUUUAUGAUAGAGAGUCUCUUGUUUUGUUACUUGCAUAUACUAGUGGGAAUAUUUCAUUAUAGAACUUGGCUUGUAUAUUCCAACAAUGGGCUUCCUCAAAUGCCCUAGGUCUUCGUGAGCAAGCAAGUUGGAUGCACACCCACUUAGUUUCUUUUGUUGAGCUUUUAUAGCUCUAGUGCAUCCGUUGCAUGGCAAUCCCUACUCCUUGCAUUGACAUCAAUUGAUGGGCAUCUCCCUAGCCCGUUGAGUAGCCGCGUCAAUGUGAGACUUUCUCCUUUUUUGUCUUCUCCACAUAACCCCCAUCAUUAUAUUCUAUUCCACCCAUAGUGCUAUAUCCAUGGCUCACGCUCAUGUAUUGCGUGAAAGUUGAAAAAAGUUUGAGAUUACUAAAGAAUGAAAAAAUUGCUUGGCUUGUCAUCGGGGUUGUGCAUGAUGAGAGCAUUCUUGUGUGACGAAAAUGGAGCAUGACCAAACUAUAUGAUUUUGUAGGGAUGAACUUUCUUUGGCCAUGUUAUUUUGAGAAGGCAUAAUUGCUUAGUUAGUAUGCUUGAAGUAUUAUUAUUUUUAUGUCAACAUUAAACUUUUAUCUUGAAUCUUUCGGAUCUGAACAUUCAUGCCACAAUAAAGAAAAUUACAUAGAAAAUUAUGCUAGGUAGCAUUCCACAUCAAAAAUUCUGUUUUUAUCAUUUACCUACUCGAGGACGAGCAGGAAUUAAGCUUGGGGAUGCAUGAUACGUCUCCAACGUAUCUAUAAUUUUUUAUUGUUCCAUGCUAUUAUAUUAUCUGUUUUUGAUGUUUAAUGGGCUUUAUUAUACACUUUAAUAUUAUUUUUGGGACUAACCUACUAACCAAAGGCCCAGUGCAAAUUGCUGUUUUUUUUUCCUAUUUCAGAGUUUCGCAAAAAAAGGAAUAUCAAAUGAAAUCCAAACGGAAUGAAACCUUCGGGAGAGUGAUUUUUGGAACAAACGCAAUCCAGGAGACUUGGAGUGGACGUUAAGAAAGAAACGAGGAGGCCACGAGGUAGGAGGGCGCACCCCCCACCCUCGUGGGCCCCUCGUGGCUCCCCUGACCGACUUCUUUCGCCUAUAUAUACUCAUAUACCCCGAAAACAUCCGAGAGCACCACGAAACCCUAUUUCCACCGCCACAACCUUCUGUACCCGUGAGAUCCCAUCUUGGGGCCUUUUCCGGCGCUCCGCCGGAGGGGGAAUCGAUCAGGGGGGGGGUUCUACAUCAACACCAUAGCCUCUCCAAUGAUGUGUGAGUAGUUUACCACAGACCUUCGGGUCCAUAGUUAUUAGCUAGAGGGCUUCUUCUCUCUCUCUUUGGAUCUCAAUACAAAGUUCUCCUCGAUCUUCUUGGAGAUCUAUUCGAUGUAAUUCUUUUUGCGGUGUGUUUGUCGAGAUCCGAUGAAUUGUGGGUUUAUGAUCAAGAUUAUCUAUGAACAAUAUUUGAAUCUUCUCUGAAUUCUUUUAUGUAUGAUUUGUUAUCUUUGCAAGUCUCUUCGAAUUAUCAGUUUGGUUUGGCCUACUAGAUUGAUCUUUCUUGCAAUGGGAGAAGUGCUUAGCUUUGGGUUCAAUCUUGCGGUGUCCUUUCCCAGUGACAGCAGGGGCAGCAAGGCACGCAUUGUAUUGUUGCCAUCGAGGAUAAAAAGAUGGGGUUUAUAUCAUAUUUCUUGAGUUUAUCCCUCUACAUCAUGUCAUCUUGCCUAAUGCGUUACUCUGUUCUUAUGAACUUAAUACUCUAGAUGCAUGCUGGAUAGCGGUCGAUGCGUGGGGUAAUAGUAGUAGAUGCAGAAUCGUUUCGGUCUACUUGUCGCGGACGUGAUGCCUAUAUACAUGAUCAUGCCUAGAUAUUCUCAUAAUUAUGCACUUUUCUAUCAAUUGCUCGACAGUAAUUUGUUCACCCACCGUAAUACUUAUGCUAUCUUGAGAGAAGCCACUAGUGAAACCUAUGGCCCCCGGGUCUAUUUUCCAUCAUAUAAGUUUCCAAUCUAUUUUUACUUUGCAAUCUUUACUUUCAAUCUAUAUCAUAAAAAAAUACCAAAAAUAUUUAUCUUAUUAUCUCUAUCAGAUCUCACUUUUGCAAGUGGUCGUGAAGGGAUUGACAACCCCUUUAUCGCGUUGGUUGCAAGGUUCUUAUUUGUUUGUGUAGGUACGAGGCGACUUGCAUGUAGUCUCCUACUAGAUUGAUACCUUGGUUCUCAAAAACUGAGGGAAAUACUUACGCUACUUUGCUGCAUCACCCUUUCCACUUCAAGGGAAAAGCAACGCAAUGCUCAAGAGGUAGCAAUGAACUUUGAGUUUAAGAUCAGAUCUAUCUGUUUAUAUCCAUGAAAGUAUUGGAGUUUCUUUGAUCUCUUUUAUGCAUGAUUACUUAUAGCCUUGUAUUUCUUCUCCAAUAUUUGGGUUUUGUUUGCCCAACUUGAUCUAUUUAUCUUGCAAUGGGAAGAGGUGCUUUGUAGUGGGUUCGAUCUUACGGUGCUUGAUCCCAGUGACAGAAAGGGAACCAACACGUAUGUAUCGUUGCUACUAAGGAUAAAAUGAUGGGGUCUAUCUCUACAUAGAUAGAUCUUGUCUACAUCAUGUCAUCGUUCUUAUAGCAUUACUCCGUUUCUCCAUGAACUUAAUACACUAGAUGCAUGCUGGAUAGCGGUCGAUGUGUGGAGUAAUAGUAGUAGAUGCAGGCAGAAGUCGGUCUACUAAUCUUGGACGUGAUGCCUAUGUAAUGAUCAUUGCCUGGAUAUCGUCAUGAGUAUUUGAAGUUCUAUCAAUUGUCCAACAGUAAUUUGUUCACCCACCGUUUGCUAUAUUUCUCGAGAGAAGCCACUACUGAAACCUACGGCCCCCGGGUCACUUUCUCAUAUAUUUGCCUUUGCGAUCUACUUUUAUUUUGCAUUUAUUUUUAGAUCUAUUAAACCAAAAAUACAAAAAAUACUUUGUUGCGUUUUAUUUCUAUUUAUUUUAUUUGGCGUUCGAUCUAUCAAUUUAUUACAACUUUCUUCCGUCCGCGCACACUUUCUGGCGCCGUUACCCGAAAGGGAUUGACAACCCCUUCAACACGACAGGUUGCAAGUGGUUGUUAUUUGUGCGCAUGGGCUGUUUACGUUGUGUUGCUUGGUUCUCCUACCGGUUUGAUAACCUUGGUUUCAUAUCUGAGGGAAAUACCUACCGCCCCUGUGCCGCAUCAUCUCUUCCUCUUUGGAGAAAAACCGACGUAGCUUCAAGCGACAUCACUCUUCUGGUGGCUAAUACCAAGAAGCUUCAACUUCAAUCUUUUAUGGAGACCUUCAUCGAUGUAGCCACUCGCAUCGCAGACGGCAUAGACUUGGAUACUUUCGUCGAGCCAGCCAGCCAUCCUCCUGCUGACUGAAAAACUUGACUUUAUUUGGCUUGGAAUGCCGAGUGAUUUUGUAAUCGUUAAACUCUUUCGGGCAUGAUGCCCGAGUACUUCUUCUCGUGGUUCUGAACCUCUCUAGAUUUAUCUGAACUUGGUUGUUUUAUCUGAAUGCAGUUGCUUGCCUCCAAUGUGCUUGGAUUCUUUGACUUAGGUGAAGCUGAUUCGCGACAAAGUCCCCGAGUAUGGGAUGGAGCGUACGUUGUACUUGUGGCGCAACUCAGGGUGCACCUCGUUGUAUUUGCGGAUUGCUCCUCCCGAGUGGGAGGAUUGCUCUCCACUCGGCGUGUUUUUGAAACUUAGGCGAGUACGGGGUCGUAGCUAAGUCCCCGAGUGAUAGGAUUGCUCUUCACUCGGAGUAUGUUUGAAACUUAGGCGAGUACGGGGUCGCAGCUAAGCCCCCGAGUGAGAGGAUUGCUCUUCACUCGGAGUAUGUUUGAAACUUAGGCGAGUACGGGGUCGCAGCUAAGCCCCCGAGUGAGAGGAUUGCUCUUCACUGGGAGUAUGUUUGAAACUUAGGCGAGUGCGGGGUCGCAGCUAAGCCCCCGAGUGAGAGUAUUGCUCUUCACUCGGAGUAUGUUUGAGACUUAGGCGAAUCUGGUUCGCAGCUAAGCCCCCGAGUGAGAGGAUUGCUCUUCACUCAGAGUAUGUUUGAAACUUAGGUGAAUCUGGUUCGCAGCUAAGUCCCCGAGUGAGAGGAUUGCUCUUCACUCGGAGUAUGUUUGAAACUUAGGCGAAUCUGGUUCGCAGCUAAGCCCCCGAGUGAGAGGAUUGCUCUUCACUCAGAGUAUGUUUUGAAACUUAGGCGAGUACGGGGUCGUAGCUAAGCCCCCGAGUGAGAGGAUUGCUCUUCACUCGGAGUAUGUUUGAAACUUAGGCGAAUCUGGUUCGCAGCUAAGCCCCCAAGUGAGAGGAUUGCUCUUCACUCGGAGUAUGUUUUGAAACUUAGGCGAAUCAGGUUCGUGGCUAAGCCACCCACUUGGGGAUUUGGACACAUGUUUAUGCGAAAACAAUCAUUAGGAUACUGCGGAAAUCAUGUUUUUGAUAAACAAUCUGAAAGUAUACUUAUUACAUCUCGACAAUCGAGUGUUCAAGUAUAAAAGCGGCGGAGAAGAUCCGCGUUCCACGAGCGCGGCUCAUCUUUCUUCUUGGCUACAUUGUAAAGGUGAUAUGCCCCGUUGUGGAGCACCUUGGUGAUGAUGAAGGGUCCUUCCCAAGCGGGGGCGAGCUUAUGAGGCCGUUGCUGAACCAGUCGGAGCACAAGAUCUCCCUCUUGAAAUGCUCGACCUUUGACGUUUCGGGCGUGGAAUCGACGCAUGUCUUGCUGAUAGAUGGUCAACCGGAUCAAAGCCAUCUCUCUCUCUCUUCCUCUAGGAGAUCAACGACGUCCUGUCGUGCCUGCUCAGCCUCAGCUUCAGAGAAUAGUUCCUCUCGGGGAGCAUUGUGCAGUAGAUCACUUGGAAGCACAGCUUCAGCUCCGUACACCAUGAAGAAAAGGGUUCGAUUAGUCGACCGAUUGGGAGUCGUCAUCGAUCCCCACAGGACAGACGACAACUUAGUCACCCAAGCUCCAGCUGCAUGCUUGAGGUCGCGCAUCAAUCGGGGUUUCAACCCUUGGAGGAUCAAACCGUUUGCUCUUUCAGCUUGCCCAUUCGACUGUGGGUGGGCAACGGAUGCGUAGUCAAUCCGAGUGCCUUGGGAAGCGCAGAAUGCUCUGAACUCAUCAGAAUCAAAGUUUGAGCCGUUAUCCGUGAUGAUGUUGUGCGGAACUCCGUACUGGAACACCAACUCUCUGAUGGGCUUGAGUCAAGAUUCUUGAUAGGCUUGGCUUUAAUCCACUUAGUGAACUUGUCGACUGCCACGAGCAGAUGAGUGAAGCCACUUCUACCUGUCCUUAGAGGCCCAAUCAUGUCCAUUCCCCACACAGCAAAUGGCCAGACGAGUGGGAUAGUCUUCAAAGUUGAUGCAGGUUUGUGAGACAUGUUCGAGUAGAACUGACAGCCUUCACACUUCUCGACAAUCUCCUUAGCCAUUUCAUUCGCUCGCGGCCAAUAAAAUCCUACUCGGUAUGCUUUGGCCAUGAUGGUCCGAGAGGACGCGUGGUGACCACAGGUCCCCGAGUGGAUCUCAUUCAAGAUCAGUCGACCCUCUUCUGGAGAGAUACAACGUUGAGCUACGCCAGUAACACUUUCUCUGAAAAGUUGUCCGCUUAUUACUGUGAAGGCUUUGGAUCUACGGACGAUCUGGCGAGCUUCAUCCUCAUCCUCUGGGAGCUCCUGCCUGAGCAGAUAUGCAAUAUAUGGCACUGUCCAAUCGGGGGUGAUUACUAAGAACUCCAUGAUUAAGUCGACUACUGCUGGUAUUCGACCUCAGUCAAAUUGGCAGCACUUAUCGGUUGUGGGGGCUCUUCUGUAAAGGGAUCUUCUUGUACUGACGGGGUGUGGAGAUGCUCCAAGAACACAUUACUAGGAAUAGGCUUCCGAGUGGAACCUAUUUUCGCCAGAUCAUCAGCGGCUUGAUUCUUCAAUCGGGGUAUGUGAUGGAGCUCUAAUCCUUCAAACUUCUUUUCCAAUUUCCUCACUGCAUUGCAGUAUCCAGUCAUGGCAGGGCUCCUGAUAUCCCACUCCUUCAUCACCUGAUUGACCACCAAAUCUGAGUCACCAUAAACCAUCAGGCGACGGACGUCGAGUGAGAUGGCCAUACGUAACCCAUACAAAAGUGCUUCGUAUUCAGCAUCAUUGUUGGAGGAAUCAAAGUGAAUCUGGAGAACAUAACUGAGUUUGUCACCUCUUAGGGAUACCAGGACCACUCCAGCACCAGAACCAUUCAACAUCUUAGAUCCAUCAAAGAACAUGGUCUAGUGUUCCGACUGAACCUGAGUCGGCUGCUGUUGCUCAAUCCACUCGGCCAAGAAAUCUGCAAUUGCUUGAGACUUAAUUGCUUUUUUUGCUUCAAACUUGAUAUCUAGAGGGAGAAGUUCUAUUGCCCACUUAGCCACUCGGCCGGUUGCAUCUCGAUUGUUCAAAAUUUCUGACAAUGGAGCAUCGCUGACGACUAAAACUGAGUGGUCUGCGAAGUAAUGUGCAACUUUCUUCGUGGUCAACUAAAUUCCGUAGAUAAGCUUCUGGUAUGUGGAUACCUUUGCUUGGACAGAGUCAAGACUUCAGAAAUGUAAUACACUGGGCGAUGAACUUUAUAGGCUUUGCCUUCUUCCUCCCACUCGACUAUGAGCACUGUGCUGACAACCUGUCUAGUGGCUGCAAUAUAUAGCAAUAGAGGCUCUUUGCUGACUGGGGCAACAAGCACCGGCUGGGUGGAAAGCAGGGCUUUGAGCUCUAUAAACGCUACUUCAGCUUCAGGAGUCCACUCGAAUGUAUCAGACUUUUUUAUCAGUCGGUAAAGAGGCAAUGCCUUUUCACCAAGACGAGAAAUGAAUCGACUCAAUGCAGCCAAACAACAUGUAAGCUUCUGAACAUCAUGCACAUGCACAGGGCGUUUCAUUCGAAGAAUUGUUCCAAUUUUCUCUGGGUUUGCAUCGAUCCCCCGUUCAGAAACGAGAAAUCCAAGUAACUUCCCUCCUGGGACUCCGAAUGUGCAUUUCGACGGAUUGAGCUUGAUGUCAUAUCUUCUUAAAUUGGCAAAGGUUUCAGCGAGGUCAGUCAACAGGUCGGAACUCUUGCGUGACUUGACCACGAUAUCAUCCAUGUAUGCCUCCAUAUUCCGAUUGAUUUCCGUGAGCAAGCACUUCUGGAUCAUGCGCAUGAACGUGGCACCAGCAUUCUUGAGGCCAAAAGGCAUGGUAACAUAGCAAAAACACCCGAAUGGGGUGAUAAACUUCGUUUUUAUUUCAUCGGGUCCAUACAGAUGGAUCUGAUGGUACUCGGAAUAUGCAUCCAAAAAAGACAAACGCUCACACCCCGCAGUCGAGUCGACAAUCUGAUCGAUGCGGGGGAGAGGAAAGUGAUCUUUCGGGCAUGCCCGAUUGAUAUGCUUGAAGUCAAUACACAUACGAAGUGAAUUAUCUUUCUUGGGUACCAUGAUGACAUUGGCGAGCCACUCGGAGUGGUAUAUCUCGCGGAUGAACUCAGCUGACAGGAGCCGAGCCACUUCCUCGCCAAUCGCCUUCCUCUUUUCCACGGCGGACCGACGGAGUUGCUCUUUGACGGGUUUUGCUUUUGGGUCGACACGCAAACGGUGCUCAGCCAGUCCCCUGGGUACACCCGGCAUGUCUGAUGGCUUCCAUGCAAAGAUGUCCCAGUUCUCACGGAGGAACUGGAUGAGCGCUUCUUCCUAUUUGUUGUCGAGUGUUGAUGAAAUGUGGGUCGGAGCAGCAGAGGGGUCUUCCGGGUGAAUGUGGACUGGCUUUGUUUCGCCGGCCGACUGAAAUGCUGACUCUGAAGCAGGCUUCUUGGCUCGCAACAAAUCACUUGGGUCGGCAUUUUUCUUGUAUUCCUCCAUCUCUACUACUGCCAUCUGCUCGUCAGCAUUUUUUGAGCCUUUUUGAAGGCACUCCUCUGCUCUCUGCCUAUUUCCUGUGACUGUAAUCACACCUCUGGAUCCGGGCAUCUUCAACUUGAGAUACACGUAACAUGGUCGGGCCAUGAAAUGAGCAUAUGCGGGCCUGCCCAGAAUAGCAUGAUAGGCACUGUGGAAAUCCACCACCUCAAACGUCAACUUCUCUUUGCGGUGAUUCUUGGAAUCACCGAAAACCACAUCAAGAGCAAUCUGUCCGAGUGACUUUGCCUUCUUUCAGGGGAUGACACCGUGGAACUGCAUGUUGCUCUCACUGAGUUUUGACAUCGGAAUGCCCAUCCCUUGGAGGGUCUCAGCGUACAAAAUGUUCAAACCACUGCCACCAUCCAUAAGGACCUUAGUCAGUCGGGUGCCCCAACGACUGGGUCGACCACCAACGCUUGCCGCCCGGGGGUGGCAACAUGCGCUGGAUGAUCUGACUGGUCGAAUGUAAUGGGAGUUUUCGACCACUUCAGGUAUGUUGUAGUUGCCGGAGCAACCAUGUUCACUUCUCUGUUAAUGACUUUCAGUCGACUUUUGCUCUCGACAUCAGCAAAAAUCACCAAGGUAGCAUUGACCUUCGGAUAACCAUCAUCUUCUUCUUUCUCUUCGUCCUUAUCAGAGUCCUUCUCACUGGGCUGACCCUCUCGGAACUGCUGAAUCAGGAGUCGACAUUGUCGAGUGGUAUGCUUGGGCAAAAUCAAGUUACCCUCUUCAUCUUUCUUCGUGUGAAUGUGACACGGCAAAUCCAUGACGUCUUGGCCUAACUGAUUUUUCACCUUUUUGGGAACCCAUGGCCCCUUAGGCUUUCCCUUGAACUUUCCUUGAUUCAGAACUGUGGCCUCGGCAGGACCUGCAGGUUCAGCUUUACGUUUUUGCUUUCGACUAGUAUUUCCACCUCCGGUGUCCUGGUCGACUAGUUUCCCCUUGCCACUGCGGAGUCGUCCUUCCUCUUUGCCGUUUGCAUACCGAGUGGCUAUUUCCAUCAUUCGGCUCAGAGACAUGUCUCCGGAACGACCGAACUUCAGGAUGAGCUCUCUGUACCGGACGCUCUCCUUGAAGGCGCAAACGGCCUCGUGUUCUGACACAUUUUUCACCACAUGGUGAAGGGUAGUCCAUCUCUGGAUGAAAUCUCUCAAAGUUUCAUUCGGCUUCUGAACGCAGUGCUGCAAUUCAGUCAGCCCAGCAGGUCGCUUGCAAGUGCCCUCGAAUGUCUUGAUAAACACUCGGGCUAAAUCCUCCCAACAGAAAAUACUUCCAGGGCCAACUGAUUCAAGCCGAACCCUCAAGCAUCAAGGGGAGGUGCUUCAUGGCUACAUCAUCGUUGCCUCCAGCGAUCUGCACUGCCACCCGGUAAUCUUCCAGCCACGUGUCUUUCAAAUAGAAAUAUCGUUUCAGGCAACUGGGUUUUUCGCCAUAAAUUUAAUUCUGAUGGGAGUCUUGCACGUUAUAAGGCUCGAUGGGUAUGCCGUGGUUACUCUCAGCAACGCGACAUCGAUUAUGAUGAGACUUUCUCCCCAGUUGUCAAGCCCAGCACUAUUCGCACUGUCCUUAGCAUCGCCGUCUCUUCUUCCUGGCCAAUUCAUCAACUAGAUGUCAAAAAUGCAUUUCUUCAUGGCUCUCUUCAAGAAACAGUCUAUUGUCAACAACCUCUUGGCUUCGAACAUUCCUCCUAUCCUAAUCAUGUUUGUCUUCUUUAAAAAUCUCUUUAUGGUCUUAAACAAGCACCACGUGCCUGGUUCAACGCUUUUCUACUUAUGCUCAAACCAUCGGUUUUACCCCUUCCCGUUCUGACACUUCACUCUCCACCUUUCAUCACAACAACAACACUGCUUACCUUCUUUUAUAUGUUGAUGAUAUUAUCCUCACAGCUCCUCACAACAAUUUUUAGAUCAUAUUAUCUCUCUUCUUCAUCACGAAUUCUCUAUGACAGAUUUAGGUCUUCUUCACCACUUCUUAGGUAUUGCUGUUAUCCGUGACUCCUCUGGUCUUUUCUUGUCUCAACGUCAGUACACUCUGGAUCUUCUUUCUCGUGCUGGUAUGCUUGAUUGUCAAACUUCCCGUACCCCUGUUGAUAUAGGUUCCAAACUCUCUGCCGAUGGUGAUCCUUUCUCUGAUCCUUCUCUUUAUCGUAGUCUUACCGGUGUACUUCAGUAUCUUACUCUCACUCGACCUGAAAUUUCUUUUGCUGUCCAACAAGCUUGUUUAUACAUGCAUGAUCCUCGUAUUCCACACUACAAUCAUGUCAAACGUAUUCUUCGGUAUCUUAAAGGCACACUAGACUUAGGUCUUCAUAUCAACAACUCCUCUCCCACCUCCUUGACAGCUUACUCCGAUGCAGACUGGGCUGGUUGUCCAGAUACUCGUAGGUCCACAUCCGGAUUUUGUGUUUUUCUUGGUAACAAUUUGGUUUCUUGGUCUUCAAAAAGGCAAGUUACGGUCUCCCGCUCGUCUGCUAAAGCUGAGUACCGCGCUGUGGCUCAUGCGGUUGCUGAGACGGUUUGGUUGCGCCAGUUGCUGUCAGAGCUGCACCGUCCUAUUGAGCAAGCUACCAUUGUUUACUGUGAUAAUACUUCAGCUGUCUACAUGUCAGGGAAUCCGGUUCAACACCGUCGCACCAAGCAUAUUGAGAUCGACAUUCAUUUUGUUCGAGAAAAGGUGGCUCUCGGUCAAGUUCACGUUCUCCACGUGCCUACUUCUGCUCAGUUUGCUGAUAUCUUUACUAAAGGCAUGGCGACUACUCCGUUUCAAGACAUUCGUUUCAGUCUCAACGUCGUCGAGCCUACCGUUGACACUGCGGGGGAUGUUAGAAUACAUUUUGUAUUAGGAUUAAGACUCUUCGGUUUGUAAUAAGGCUAGGUCAAGUGUGGCUGGGCUCUUAUAUAUACUUCUUGUACCGGCACAAUAUUGUAUCAACAAUUAUUCAAUACAAUUCUACACCUUUCCCCUCUCUCGCAAUGCGACUAGCGAAAGCCUUCCUUCUCUCGAUCUUCACCGGCGAACCUGUGGAUUCGCCUCCCCUUCGUCUGUCGUUCUAGCGGACGGUGGCGGGGGAGGGGAUUUCUAGUGCCUCAGAUCCGGCUAGUAGAUAGGUAGGGAUUUAGUCCUCGCAGAGGCGGCGGUUGGACAAAUAGCGGUGCUUCUUCUUCGAGUCAAUCUUCCGGGCUCCGAUCCUCCUCAAGUUCGUCCGUUGGGACGGAUUAGACGGAGCUCCGGCGUAGAUUCCUGUCAGCUCCUCGGGGCGGCGAGGUUAGGGUUUCUUGUCGAGUGUACGCAACGGCGAUAUUUCAUGUCAGGUUCUUCAGAUCGAUUUAAGGAUUCAACGGCGACGACUGCAGCUCCGGGGCGCUGGUCCUUAGGGGCACGUGCACGAAGACUUUUCGACUAUCAUCGACAAGGUCAGGCCGGCUUCGAUAUGGGAGCAACGACUGCGGCACGUUCUGGUAACAACACAGGAGCAAACAUUUGAUGCCUCUGGUUAGAUGAUCGGUGCCUUGCCUACCGUCCGUGGAGACGUCGGACGUGUCGGCAGAUAUUUGGUGCCGUCAGUUUGAUGAUGAUCGGCGUUUUUCAAAUGGAUGAUGAUCGGCGUUCUUCAAAUGAUAGACAAGCCGUUGCGUAUUCGCAAAAAAAGAAGACGAUGAUCGGCGUUGGAGUUGCACUGACGCUUUAGCACCUGCAUGCUUUAUUGCUGGUCUUGUAGGACCCCCACAGCUCUCGAGAUAUGUGGCUAUUUUGGGGAUAUUUCUUUGGUCUUAGUAGCUGUUUUCCUGUUUUGUUCCAUUUGUUGCUGUGCUACUUUCCUAGUUUUCUGCUACCCUCAAAGCCACAUUUGCGAUGAGUUGAUGGCAGUGCUACGCCACUACUGCUGCUGGGUUCUUCCGUGUUUUGUUUUCAGAACAAUUGGACCCACCAAUGCUAUUGCACUAAAGAAGAAAAUAAACUAAUGAUCGCUGUUAUGGCCGGUUUAGCUAGGCCCACCGGACAAUCUUAGUCCACAAGUUAUUUUAGGUUAAUUCUUAUGCAAGUUAUCUAGGUUAUAAAUAUAGCCAGUUAAUUCUUAUCUAGGUUAUGGCGCGCCGACCCAGACGCCGCCACGGUUCGCCAAGAUUGAUUUCGCCACUUAUGACGGCACGAAGGACCCGCUUAACUGGCUCAACCAGUGUGAGCAGUUUUUCCGUGGCCAGCGCACGCUCGCGUCGGAGCGCACUUGGCUGGCAUCCUACCACCUCCGCGGUGCAGCCCAGACCUGGUACUACGCCCUCGAGCAGGACGAGGGCAGCAUGCUCUCUUGGGAGCGCUUCCGCGAGCUCUGCCUCCUUCGCUUUGGGCCUCCGGUUCGCGGGAGCCGCCUGGCGGAGCUCGGCCGCCUUCCCUUCACCUCCACGGUGCAGAACUUCGCCGACCGUUUCCAGGCCCUGGCAUGCCAUGCGUCGGGCGUGACGGCGCAGCAGCGGGCCGACCUCUUUGUCGGUGGACUUCCGGAUCACAUCCGCGUGGACGUGGAGCUUUUCCAGGCCCUGGCAUGCCAUGCGUCGGGCGUGACGGCGCAGCAGCGGGCCGACCUCUUUGUCGGUGGACUUCCGGAUCACAUCCGCGUGGACGUGGAGCUUCGGGGACCCCAGGAUCUCCAGUCGGCCAUGUACUACGCCCGUGCGUUCGAGCGCCGCGCGGUGGCCAUCCAGCAGGAAUCACCGUCCCGGACCGCUGGGUCGCUACCCGGGCCGGAUUCCGCGCAGGGUCGGCCUGCGUAGGCUUCUGCGGCACCCCUCGCCGCGACCGCGACGCGCCCGUUCCGCCGGCUCACCUCAGCCGAGCUACUCGAGCGUCGCCGUCAAGGGUUGUGCUUCAACUGCGACGAGCCCUACACGCCCGGCCAUGCCUGCCCGCGACUCUUCUACCUGGAGGUUGCAGACUACAUUCCGGAGGACGCCGUCGCCGUCGACCUGGCCGCCCCAGCUGUCGAGAAGGUGUUUGACGCUGGUUGAUCGCCUCGAGGAGUUCCGCAAGCGCUUCCCCACCUUACAGCUCGAGGACGAGCUGUUUGUGCAGGCGGGGAGAAGUGUUAUGGCCGGUUUAGCUAGGCCCACCGGGCAAUCUUAGCCCACAAGUUAUCUUAGGUUAAUUCUUAUGCAAGUUAUCUAGGUUAUAAAUAUAGGUUGUAAGACUUUUUUUGGAAUUAAGCAAUAAGAAUAUUAUUAUCCCUAUUGCCCGGCUCUCAGAGGAGCCGGAACCCUAGCCGCCUCUAACUCUAGCCGCCGCCGCCAUCCUCCUCCUACGCGACGGCGCCCAGCCGCCGGCGCGCCCUCCUCCAUCCUUCCCCUACAACCUACGGAGCAGGUCCGGUAGGAUCCCUGGUUCUACCAAUCGCCCAUACGCAUAACAACAUUCUGGUAUAAUCAUCAGUAGUCCAAUUGACAUAUUAUUAGGGAUAACACAGGGAGAGCAAGGUACGCGAGCCGAAUGACUUCAGAACAACAAGAGUGAUGAUGCCCAAACCUAACAAAGAGAAAUCCUACAAAAGAGUACCAUCAAGUGGGCCAGUUAUUGGUUGGAUGUGCAUGAGAGUUUAUCAGUUAUCAGAUAACAUUCUAACCGCGGCAUCCAAAUUACUCCAACCAAUAACUGAUAACACAACUAUUCGAUGCCCCAAGCAUGCUUCGGCCCAAUAACAGCACAUAAUUUCUCCAAGUGGACACUUUGAAAACAAAUCAACUUUACUGCACUUUCCUGGCUUCUGCCCGGGGCUUCCAAAGACCAAGGCGGUACUUGUGGGCAAAACUCAAAAUCAACUUCCUCUG